ACUCGGCGCGCCGGAGUUGGAGCAAAGUCGGCGGCGGCGGAGGGCGCGGGAGGCUGAGGGUUGGGAGGUGGGCAGGCUCGGGAGCUCGCACUGACCGAGGGUCUCGGUGCCGGCCCAGGGCUAGGAAGGGACGUCGCUUCUCGUUUGCAAAUGCAACAAAAUGGUACUGUUGAUUGGUUUGCCUUCGGAAAGAAGGGGUUGGAAGGACAGGGGAGGCUGCACUUUCUCCAAUCUCCUGUCCACAGCCAACUCAAACUCUCCUGUGCUGAUGAGUUCUUUAUGCACCCGGUAUGUUAAUUAGGUAGUAUCCGUGUGGAUAGGCCAUUAGGAACUUCUGGGAUCCCGCUGGCCUUCACAGCCGGGGUGGAGAAGGGGAGCCUGGCGUGGGUGAAGAAGAGCUAACUUGCCCCGGUGUGCUUAAAGCCGUAGUGCUGAAUGAGGCUUGCACGGUUGCAGAAAAAGACGCGAUUACGGAACGCACUGAGGCGGGUAUUUACAGUGACUGGGGAAAAGAAGGCUUGGAAAGAGUUACAUUGAAUGUCGCCCGUUUCUCUGAGCAAGGCUGAAUUCUGAAUCCUACCAAGCGCUGGAUUCAGUGUAUGAAAUGGAAUUUCGCCCCUAGUGCUGAUUGCUUCCUUUCUGAAGCUUAGCAGGUGGACUCUCUAGAAAGAACUUUGCUACCUCUGGGCUUCUUGCCACUGAGACUCAUGGGGCUGGUCGUGAUGGAGGGAGCCGAACUAGGUGCCUACUUAGCUAAAGGCAUCAACAAUCACCUGUGGAAUUGAGAUUGAAGGGGCCAAGUAAACCGGUUCCUUCCCACUCUUUUGGAAUGCCAAUGCCGCCUCUGCCAUCUGAGGCAGCAUUUGUGCCAGCCAGCACAGCUCUUGGACUCUCAGAAAAAAUCCACAACAGAGAACGUCCAUCUGUUGAUUAAAUGAAGGGUAAAAGUUUUCGAGAAAGCACAACGUAACCAUGGGUGGCUGCCUUUGCAAGCAAACAGCGUGUCUUCCUUGCUUCUCUUGUCAGGAGAAGCCAAAUAUAAGCAAAACCAGGGUUCCUCCUCUCUUUCCCUGGGCUUUGUUAUCACUGUAGAUUUCCCCCUUACCCGUGCAGUUCAAACUUUGCGGCCACCCCUCCUGAGAGACUCAAGGGGCCCCUCCCCCUAGAAGUAUGCUGCAUAAAGCAUGGAUAUGCAGGUUUAUAAUGAGUCCAUGCACACACUCAGAUGGUUGUGUUCAUCUCCUCAGGACUCCCUACAGCAACAUGAAGAUAAACAUUAUUUCCUCAAGUUUUCAGGCUGGGUGAACAAGAGCCAUUCGAGAAUCCUGCUGUAGAGUGAUACGUACCCAGAGCUAUGUUUCCAUGGUGAUUCUACAUCCUGUCAAGUUGGCAAUCAAGAUUAACCAUUCUACCCCCUGCAGCACCUGAUGCCUUGAAAAUACACCUACGUUUCUAAGCACCCGCAAUCCUCUCAUAUACUUUUUUACUCUGGCGAAAAUAUCCUUAACUCCACUUGGUACUGGAGGAACUGGAAUCUCAAUGAGGUUAAUUUAUUUGUCCCACAUUUAGAUAAUAGAGUAAAAAUUAAAGGGUGAGCCUUCUGUCUCUAGUCAAGAUUUCCCAGGGCUCUUCUGAGUCAGCCCAGCAACAGACUCUCACCUUCCCCAGACUCUGAGUCAGGCUUCAGUGCUCUCAGAGAAUGAAUUUCCUCUGAAUCAAUCCUGGAUGCAGUUAUUAUUUUAUAGGGAUGUUGUAAGUUGAUAAGGUAGCUGUUAUAUGCUAAUAGCUAUUGUAAUGUUGUUCUUAAGGCCUAUUACUUGUGCUGGUUUGUAUUUUAAUGUGUGCAAAGGUGAUUACAACUUUAAUAUGAAUGUUAAACAGAUUAACUGAUUUAUAUGUAAAAUAAAUAAAUAAAUGGAAACUCAUACUCUCAUUUCUAGUCAUUUCUCUCUCCCUUUCUUUCUUCCCACUCUGUCCAAAGGCUGAUGUGGUCCAUGGAGCUUUGACAAUAGGACGGAAAGAGAAUGUUUGCUGGGUGAUAAAUAGUGGUUAUAGAUGGGUCUUUUGUAACUGGAAAACUCAGACUUUGUGUUCUUAAUAGCUGCUUGUCUGAGAGUUUGUGCUUUUGACUGAUUUAAGGACUGCAGUUUUGUUUGAGCAUUGUGCAGCCUCCCCCUCCUCACCACCAUAAAAUUGUGUUAACCACUUCUGGUAAUCUAUCGAUUGCCUAGUAUACUCAAGUUUGCCAAACUUUCUGCAAAGCAACCAUUGCCCAGUGUAUCUGGAAGUAUAGGACAUAGUCCAAUAAGCAAGUGAGCAACUCAAGAGAGGCAGGGACUAAGGGACAAUGUGUGGAGUCUCUUCUUUUGGAGCAGACAGUAGGGAUGCUGGCAAGAGCUCUUGAGGUAAGCAUCCUUAUAAGGCAAAGCUCCAAGGAUGAACUGAAGUUAACUAAGCAAAUGGGCAAAGAGUGGGAUGUGGGAGCACAGAAGGAGCAUAUGGGAUAUUAUGUGCUAGAGUGCAGAAAGAGAGUAUAGCCUGUUGAAGAAGUAAGGAGUUUGGUGUGUCCCUACUAAGGGACCUAAAGGUCAUUGGCAGUAUCAGGAUUUCAUUCAUUUUCCAUAGAAUCAAAAGUCAGGAAGUUUCCUGAGAAAGUAAUGGUGUCCUGUAUAGAUGGAGAAGGACGUCUUGCAGGCUUCUCUUUAGAGGAUCAUUGCUGCAAAAGACAAAGGGAAAGAAAAGAACAAAUGUGGGUUGUUUGCAGAGAUGAUAUAGGUUUGGAUAGAAGGAUCCUAACAGUGCUCUAAACUGAAGUUUAAAAGAGGAAGAAAAACAUACCCACCUUACAGGGCAAGAUAUGACACACAGGUAAGUGAAGGAAGGAGUAUUUGUGACUUUCCAAGAAAAUGUUGGGGAAGAGGAUCAGAAGCAAUGCUGAAAGAGCGGCAUGAUUUAUUACCUACACCUAGUGAAUAAUAAUGAAGUAAUGUAGUAUGAAAGUCUAACGCUGCAGAAUGCCAGCUGCACUUACCUGGAGAUCCUGUCUGAGUUGGUAGGAAGCACUUCUCAGUGGGCCACAAUGUUUGCCCAUAGACAUACCAGAGCAGCAUAGUCCUAGUCCAGAAAUCCCACUGGGUGGGUUGCAUCAUGGGGAGAAGCUGAGUGGGCACACACACACACACACACACACACACACACACGGAGGGGAAUGGGGAUGAGUUGAAGUGGUUUUUCUCUGUUUGUGUUUUAGACUGGUAGACUGGACUGUGUAUGCUCUUUGUUUAUCCAAAGCAUCAAUUGGCCCCAGGAGCCAGUUACAGCAGGGAGGGCCUUGGCUCUUUGAAUGUGGGCUGGACGGCUCAUCCUGUUAACAUAGAAUUCCUGACAUAUUUUUUAAUUGCCUUACUGACAGCUUGAUAGCUCAGAAAGUUGGGGAGAAAAUCAAUGAGAGCCUCUGUUACUCUGGGCUUAAGUCUAACUCUUUUUCACUUUUCAACAAAUAUUUAUUGAAUACCCAAUAUGUGCCAGGCACUGUGCCAACAAGGCAAAAACCUCUUCACAGAUUUGACAGGCACUGAAUAGAUUCUUGAGAGAUGUGUGUUGAGAGAAUGCAGGGAUAAAUGAAUAAAUAUAGAGACCUUUAGAAAACACAUAAUAAUCCUAGGAAUUUGCAAUUAAAAAAAAAUAAGGCAGUGGUUGUGAUAAACUACCUUUGACAAGCUUUAGGGCAAUCACUGAAGUCCACAAAAAAGGAUGGGUGACAUAAGGGGAAAAUGCUCCAGCAAUUCACCAAGUUCAAAAACUAAAGCCUGUUUAGAUGGUACCACAUAAAUUAUUCUGACAUAGACGGUGAGAGUGUGGCCUCUGGAGAAACCAAUAUGGCUGCACAGACCCGCAGGAUCCCAGGUGUGAUGGCUACACAUACAAAAGAUGAAAGGCAAGGUACCUAGCAACAGAUGAGGACAAUAGACGGACAGAUGUCUCUGACAAUGGUGCCCAGUGACAUAGGAAAUUAGAAUGAAAUAGUCUAGCAGAAGAAAGAAAAAAAAAAGGAGAGAGGAGAAGGAGAAUCACAGGAAGUCAUGCAACUCAAGCUGUACUACAGAGCAACAGUAAUAAAAACUGCAUGGUAAUGUCAGGAAACAUUUUGGUUCUAAAAAAGAAAUAAAGGGUCAACCAGUUGCAGAGAACUUCUCUUAUCUCUUUUGCUGUUUUUUGGUUUUGUUUUGUCCUUUUUGGACGUUUUCAUUGUUGUUGUUUUGUUUUCCUACCAAUGCUUUUUAUAGUUAAGUGAGAAUAAUAAGCUUGGCACACUCACACACAUAUCACACACACAGACACACACACACACACUGAUAAUGACAACAACAAUAAUAAAUGUUUUUAAGCUACAAAUGAUUUUAAUUAGAACAACAAAUUUCAGUUUUAUACCUUAAGAAAUUACCUCCCAGGAUCUUGAAGCAAUUUGAGAACAUGAUCUAAGAAUUAAUAAAAUCUAAAAACAAAACAAAACAAAUCAGUUUUUUUUUAAGUAAAAAUAAAGUAAAGCUGGGCCAUGGUGACACAUAACUUUAAUCCCAGCACUUGGGAGGCAGAGGUAAGAGGAUCUCUGUGAGUUUGAGACAAGCUUGGUCUACAAAGUUAGUUCCAAGACAGCCAUGGUGGUUACACAGAGCAACCCUGUCUUUGAAACAAGCAAGCAAAAGGAACUAAAGGACAGUAGACUCUGAGAUAGCAGACAAGUAUAUAGUUCUAGGAAAGCAGUCUGUAAGAGAAGACUUUGAUGGUUUAUAGCUACAUCUAUGAGCACUGGAAGCCACCCUGAACUUACAAGGAGCUAGCAUCAUCUCACAAAGGGGAAAAAAAAAACAAAAACGUAUCAUUAGAAUUUCACAAUCCACCUCCCUUUGUGAUAUUGUGCUGCUACAAAUUUGAUGAACACAUCUUCUGUCAGGUGUAUUUCAGAGUCCUAACUAUGGGAGUGGGAAGCUGUGCUGUUGAAAUCUUAACACCAGCCAACAGUGUGACACAGUUACAGCCUGACUGACUUCCUCUAUAGCGGUAGUACAUUCAUACUAAAGAUGCUCACACUCUGUGGUGCCCUCUGCUGAUGUGUCCACAUCUGCAAUGGUGGUGGUUUCACUCUGAGGGUAACAUCUUAGAGAGUCACAACCUGGGAAUUUUGUCAUGGGAAAAGAUGGAAGAAUUGGAGGGUUCAUUCAGCAGCAAAAAGAAGGCAUAAGCUUCCUCCACCCAGAUUUUGAGGGUGUGCUGAAGGACCACUUGGGGUAUUUGUUCAAACUAAAGGUUCCAGGGACUUCAAUCCUUACAACUAUUGAGGGCUCAAGUCAUUAAUUGCAAGAGGAACACAGGAAAUUGUACUGGAAGAAACGUCCCAGGGAUGCUCAUAUCAGUGGUGCAAGGAUUAUGCUCUUAGAAACACCAGCUUAGAAGAAGGCUGCAUAAUUGUUCAAUGAUAUAAGCCUUGAUUCUCCAUGUGGCUGAGAGGACAGUCUCCUUAUCCACGAGUCCUGAACUUGGUCAUUUGUUACUAGUGAGUGGGAGCAUUGACUCCCACUUCUAUAUCCACCAGUUUCAAAUAUAUUGUGUGUGUGGAACACAGUAGGUAGUCGGUGAAAGUAUGAGAAGGUCAGAGAAGGAAACUGGCAAGAACAAAGACUUCCUAAGGAUGCUGCAGGCUGCCUUGUUAGGCAGCCAGCCUGCCAUCCGCACCAUCCGUCUUCUUGGGGGAGAUUGGAUAAUAAGGUGGCGGAGAUGGCAGAAAGGAGCUCGCUUUCUGGAAGAGAGGUUCAGGGAAGGUGACCUCCAGGACAUUACACAUUUCUUAAAACUCAGCCGAACACACACAAAUAUAUUGAAAAAUUCUUUGACUACUGCCCAGAGGCAAUAGAGCCAAAGAGACAUAGAAGGAAAAGAAUAAUGGAGAUGAGUGAGUGCUACAGAGAGGAACAUGGAAGAAACAUCAGAACGCAAAGAGAUGAUCAUGGAGGAGGAAGCACGUGAUACAGAGCUGCUUAGGUUUUAGACGGAGCACGUGCAGUGUGUCACAGCGUCUGUCGUUUAAUGCAGCUGCACAUGUGCAUUAAGCAGCCUCCUUGCACAGGCAGGAAGGAGGGUCUGACUUUCCUGUCCCCCACAAGUCCAUGAGUCUCACUCUUCUACUUAGGAGACCUGUGAGAGCGCCACAGGGAAGGACAUUAUCUGUUAGUAAUCAUUAUGUUCCUAAUUCUCUGAAUGCAGCCCAAUGCACAAUGGGAGUAUCCGUAAGUGUCUGAGCCAGCAAGCGGACGAAAGGGAGACACUGACAUGUAGUGAGGCCCUACUUGCCAGAGGCUACAGUAAAACUGCAUAUUUGUUACUUUUAAUUCUUCUAAACUCUGAAAAACUGUCAGUAUUCUUAUUUACAGAUGUUUAAACAGAAAUGCUGUUGAAUCAUUAGCCCAAAGUCAUAAACAUGCAUUUUUUUUUAAAAAUCAAGUCAUCUACCUCCUAAGUCUACAGCGUUUCUUAAACAUACUAGUUUCAAGAGCUUCAUUUCCACACAAUUCUUUUACUUAAGAUCAAGCAGCAAACUGACUUCCUCAAGGCCACCAUGUCAGAGUUUGUAAUGGACUGAAGUCUGGACCCAAGCUUUGAACAGGGGGUUAAGCAGCAGCCCAAACCCUUCACCACAUCAAAGCUGCUGAUCUUCGCCAGCCAGUGACUAGUUUCUGCCGGUCCUGCAGGAAGGUCAUGUUCCUUGUGCAGCCCUGAACGAUGAACGAUGGCACCUGAGGCUAGGUCAGUGUUGGCUGGGUCAGCUAGAACAUGGCUGUGUGAGACGGAUACCCUCAGUGACACCGAAGCCCUAGCAAGACCCCUCCACUUGAAAAUGGGCAGAGUUGUACACCGUAGGACAUUCAGCCUGCUACUCAGAGGUCUAUGAAUAAGAUGCAGAUUGACCCCAGCAUUCAAUUUCUGUUCUGUCUAUUUAUUUGUUUUGAGAACUUAGAUUUGGCAGUGGAAUAAGCCGUAAGUUGUGUGCUCAAUUGUUCUCCACUCUCUCUGGGUUGCGCAAUGCCUUUUAGUUAAACAAAUACAAUUCCCAUUGACUUUGGAUGGCGUCCUGCUUCAGUGGAAGGGCAAGUAGAAUUUAAGGCUAUCAACACAAUAGAGCAGAAUAUUGCUCCCUUUUUUUUCUGUCAGCUUUUAUGUGGAUGAUAGAGAAAAAUGAAAAGGAGGCUGUUUUCUUCAGCCCUUGUAGUUGUUUGUAGCUCUGCCUAGAACAUCCCUCGAGGUAAAGAGAGAAUAUAUAGGAUAUAUAUGAAGAGAAGAGGUGCGUGUGUGCGGUGUAUAAACACACUCAGGUGGGUGGGCACAGCCUCAGCCACGGACACUAAUGGCUAGCAACAGAAGCCAUCUGGCUGACAUAAAUGGAAAUGAAUAUUGGGCAGACAACAGAGUUGCCAGAAGAGUGGAAGGCCCCAGCUCUGGGGUGGUUUAGUGGUACCCCAAACAAUUGUCAGAAGGAUGGCUUCAGCCAGCUGACUCGGGUUUUGGUCUUGUCCUAGCCACCAAGGCAGCUAGGAGGGGUACUCUCACAACCUUCUCUCUCUUCUUAACAUUGCAUGCUCCCAUGGAUGUGUCUAGGAAGUGGGGGCAGAUUAACAGAGAGGAUAUCUUCAGCUUCUACAUAGAGCAGACAAGAGCGUGAAUCCCACCAAGACUAAUAGACUACAAGGUUUCUCCCAAGUGUCAGAAGAAUGAUUACUGUUGAAAGUCAAGGGGAAGAAUAAAAGGUCACCACUAGCACACCUGGAGGACUUAGUAUCUUUGGGGUACCCUGGUGUGGACGGGCCACCUCUCUUUCCAUCUAGCAAGGAGGUGCAUAUUUAUUAUACAGGGUAUUUUAAAGAGGGGGGGAAAAACAGGUACCAAGGCAUCAUGUCCACCAGCUUAGCUGGAGUUCUCAACUGCCCAGAUGAGAGAUGCCAGAGGAAUUUUCAUGUCACCUUUGUGCCACUUCUGCCGCCGGGGUUUUGAUGACCAGCUGGAGGAAGGGUCAUGGGACUGUAUCACCGUUAAUCUGUCUGUCUCAGGCUGAUUGAAUCUCUGGCUUUUCUCUGACCUCACUAAGUUCAGUGGCUGGCCAUGCUGUAUGUAGGUACUCAGCCCAAAUCACCUGUAUCAGGCGUGGUUGGAAAUUCCUGGAAAGAGAAUCAUUAGCAUCUUUAAACACAAGCAAGGAGGGCUCAGGAGAUACUUCCUGAGGCUUCCUGUCCAACUAAACCAGUCAGCUUGUUCUAGGCCACUGAGAGACUGCUUUAAAAAUAUAACAAAAAAGGUGAACAGUAUCUGAAAAAAAUGACAUCUGAAAUUGUCCUCUGCCCUCCCCCACAACACACACACCUGCACACAUAGGAACACACAUACUGCACACACAUUUUUUUUUUUUAAAGACACCAAGGAUAGUCUUGGUGUACCUUGCUUAUUCUGGUCAGGCAUGCUGAUAGAUGACAAGUACCUUCCCUUACAAGCCCCAAGCAGAAAUGUCCUGGUUCCUUCCUGAAUGACUCCCCUCCUUAAGUAUUAUCCUACUUUUCGGGUUGCAAACCUCAGUAAGAAAAAGACUCAAUGAUACCAAAGGUCAAAUUACAGCCUGGGAAAAGACUACCCAGAUCAGAACAUAAAACCCAGUCCAGUUCCCAGCAGCUUCUUCAUGUCUCAUUUCCACACCUAAUUGGCAUCGCUUGAGAAUUUCCAAGCAAUUUGUAGUGAUUACAGUCUUUUAGAUAGGGAUCAGUAUUCUGAGGUGAUAGCUAGGAAAACAGUGGCACCGGAAGCUACCUAAGCAACCCCUCAUCAUUCAAGAAUCAGACAGGUAUCUUGAUGAUUUUCUACAAAUGGUUUAAGCUUCAAAACAUUGCAUUUCCUAGUGUUUAUUCAGUUUUGCUUCUGGAAUUUAUCUCACUAGAAAUGUAAAUAAUCUUUUCCAUUCACAAAUAGUCAAAACCCACCUAAAUAAAAAUCUGCUUUGUAAAGGAGGAUGGCAACAAGGAGCCACUAAAGGAGACAAAUCCAGCAUGCCGUGUGUGGUGGGUGACAAGCAAAAGGGAGAUUAAAAGUGAUGCCCAGUUAAUGUGUUAUAUCCCACAUCCUGGAAAACCCUUUGGCACCACUGUCAAGGAGCUGACCUCACUAGAUGGGAAAGAGCAUGAGGGACCACAGCGGGGGGCUCCGUGCAUUUCUGAGUGUGGUUUCCUCAAACCAUAUACAUCUGGUGGUCAAUGGACCACUUCACAUCCUCUCUUAAAAAUAUAACAAAAAACUCUCUUGCGGAGUUCCUACUGUUUCUUGGAUGCCACUCUGGGUUCCAAGAAAUAUUAUUUUUAUGAUAUCAUUGUUCUGAUAAAUAAAGUGGGCCCCUUUUUUUAGUCUGUGUAAUUUUUCUAACCGGGGAUGUGGCCAGAAUAUUCUCCGCUUGUCAUUUUACAAGCCAGAAAAAGCGCUGCAGUCCUACUAUCAGUGAACUCAGUGGCAAUUCAGUACCUGAAUGAGCAAAGAAAAAAAAAAAAAAGAAAGAAAGAAAAAAGAAAAACGGAAACUUUUUGUAGUUUAAUACCUAGUGAAAAUCACAUUCAUUUAGAUGAUAGUAUGACUAGGAAGACUUUUAGAGAUUCUGGAGGGCUGACCAUGUGCUUUGGGGAAAAAGGAAGGAUAAAGAUUUUUACUAUUGGUUACUUUGUGUUUGAUUGUGUUCCAACCCUAUAGGUUACAACUAACUGACACAACUGCAUUCUGUAACCUCACACUUACCUGUCAGUAUACUGUCAAUUAGAAGAACAGGGGAGACCACAAGUCAGGAAAUCCCCAAACCCUCAGUCACGUUAAGAGGAGUAAACAGGGUGUGAGUAUGAAAAGCAGAGUAUCCGGAGUAGAAUUACCUUGUUAAGGAUGCUUAAAAUAUUGUUUAAUUUAGUUUGUUUGUUUAUUACAAUUUAUUCAGUUUCUAUCCCUGCUGUAGCCCCUCCCUCAUCUUCCACCCACCCUCCCUCUUCUCCCCCUCUGCCCUUUCCCUAGUCCCCUGAUAAGGGAGGACCUCCUCCCCUUCUAUCUGACCCUAGCCUAUCAGGUCUCAUCAGGGCUGCCUGCAUUGUCUUUCUCUGUGGCCUGGUAAGACUGUACCCCCAUGGGGGGUAUGAUCAAAGUGCCAGCCACUGAGUUCAUGUCAGAGACAGUCCCUGUACUCCUUUUUAGGGAACCCAUUUGGAAACUGAACAGCCUAUGGGCUUCCUCUGAACAGGAGGUCUAGGUCCUCUCCAUGCACAGUCCUUGGUUGAUGAAUCAGUCUUUGCAGGACCCCCUGGACCCAGGUAAUUUUGGCUGUUGUUCUCCUUGUGGAGUUCCCACCCCUCCAGGUCUUUCUGUCUCUCUCUUCUUCCAUAAGGUUUCCUGCACUCUGCCCAAAGUUUGGCUACGAGUCUCAGUAUCUCCUUCGGUACCCUGGUGAGAAGAGUCUUUCAGAGGUUCUCUGUGGAAGGCUCCUUUCCUGUUCCUUGUCUUCUCCUACUUCCAAUGUCUAACCUGUUUGCCCUUCUGAGUGAGGUUUCAGCUUCUUCACUAGGGUCCUCCUUUUCAUUUAGCUUCUUUAGGACUAUAGAUUUUAGUAUGAUUAUCCUAUAUUAUAUGUCUAAUAUCUACUUAUAAGUGAAUAUAUACCAUAUGUUUCUUUCUGCUUCUGGGAUACCUCAUUCAGGAUGAUUUUUUUCUAGUUCCCACCAUUUGUCUGCAAAUUUCAUGAGUUCCUUGUUUUUAAUUUCUGAGUAGUGUUCCAUUUUGUAAACGUACCACACUUUCUAUAUUCAUUUCUCCAUUAAGGGACAUAUAGGUUGUUUCCAGAUUCUGGCUAUUACAAAUAAACCUGCUAUGAACAUUGUUGAGCAAAUGUCUUUAUUGAAUGGUGGGGCUGGAUACUUAAAAUCUUGAUGAGGGAGAUUUCCUGAAGGGCCUUAGAUGGUUUCAAGGAGACUGUAUUUCCUACUUAGCCCUGUAGGUGGCAGUGCCAAUUUAGGGUAGCUUGGCUGUUCUGUGCCCGGUAGGGGUAAUCAUGAGGGUAGGGUAAAAUAUUAAUUAUGCUAAGUGGUCUUACUCAUAUUGCGUUAUCUUAACCCAGGUGGAUCCUCUCAUUUAUCACAUCAAUAGAAAACUGAGCAUCUCCUUAUUGGCUUUUCUGGAACUCCCUGCCGUAUUGCCUUUGCUGGAACUUUCUGCCGCUCAGUGCGUGGGUGAGACCCAGCACCUUGUGAGGGCACAAAGUAUGGGGAAGGCAGGGGAGGGGGGAGCAAACACUGAGAGGCCCUAAACUGCCUGCUUCCUCUACACUGGAAGCUGGGAAGCAUCCAUCUCUUGCUUGGAAGUGUUGCAAAAAAAAUGAGCUGUAUGGUCAAGUGUCUCCUAGGUUAGGUGCCACAGAUGGGAUUGCUAUUGACAGUGGCACAAGGAACCUCAUGACACCAUCUUAGCUCAUGGAGCUACUUUUAAAACGACCCACAUGUCUUUAUUCCAUGGCUUCAUUGUCCUUGAACAUGCCUCUUUUGAGUAUUUCUGGUGUUGCUAUGAGCCUGCUUGAUUUGUCCUAAACAAACAGGCACCAUUGUCACCUUCUUAGCAUCCACCCUGUCAGCACCCCUGUCUCUCACCUCCCUGGUCACACCUACCUAGCUUCCCAUGCUCCCUUCGAUUCCCCCAUUUCCUGUAGCUUUCUCUACCUCUCCUGAAGCUCUGCUAGAAUUCUACAUUUACCAGUACAUUACCUGUGCCUGCCACAUCACACAGACCUGCCCAGACCUCCCCACAAAAAGCCCCUUCCGUUGAAGAGCAGCUGCCUUGAAACCUGUCUUUGCAUUCCCUGUGGGCAAAGAAGACAUUUAGUACAUGUUUAUGGGGUAAUGAAUAAGUGAACAAUUCCCAUCUCCUCACCUCUUGCCCACCCCAAACUUUUUUUUUUUUUUCAUCUUCACUGAAAGUGCAUGUGAGAUCUGGUCAUGGUGGUGCACACCUUUAAUCUCAGCUUUUGGGAGGCAGAGAUAGACGGAUCUCUAUGAGUUCGAGCCAGCCUGGUCUAUACAGCGAGUUCCAGAAUAACCAGGGCCAGAGCUACACAAAGAAAACCUGUCUCAAAAAAAACCAAACCAAAAAAAAAAAAAAACAAAACAAAAACAAAAAUGAAGAAAGAACGAAAGAAAGAAUGAACAAAAAAAAAAGGAAGGAAAAUGUUUGGGGGCACCUGAACACCUUCCUUCUGAGGUCUACUAGAGGCUAAAGCAGGGUUUCACAGAUGAGGGAACCAAAUCUGAGAGGUACAGUCUCUCUGCUAGUACCACACAGCAAACUUUAUGUCAGGCUAGGGAUGGGAACUUCCACUUUCUGCCCUGACACCCAUUUCCAUCAAGACUUCCAUCCCUACUGUGUGUGUGUGUGUGUGUGUGUGUGUGUGUGUGUGUGUGUGUGUGUAGUUCCGGAUCUGUAGGCUCCUCUGAGAGCCCACUCCAGGAAUGCAUGACAUAAGGGGGGCAUUGUAAUUGAUGGGCUAAAUAAAUGUAGGCUCUGCGUCUUUGUCGGAGAGAAGCUUUCUUCAGGAGGGGCUUUACGAGUUUGACGGGGUGCUUGUAAACAGCAGCGAUUUGAAUAGUUUCUCCAGCACACUGUUAACAUUUAUAUGUGGCCCAUUUCAUCUGUAAUCUCCUUUUACAAGGCGCUGGUGAGCCUUUGAUGGCAACAGCGAAUGACCCAGGCGGCUUCCUUCCACAUGUUCAAACUGAGAAGAAAAUUUGGGAGGAUCUAAGGUUCUCAUCUCCGUAAACAACCCAGACCCAUCGACUGAAAUUGCCCAUCUCCAUCUAGACACUGAACUUCUGCGGCUGCUUCCCACUCUCUUCCUUUCCUGUUUGCCAUUACCCUGCUCUGGUUAUUGCCCGCAUCUGGAGUGUGGCAGCUGCCCUGUAACGUGCAAGCUGCGGUAUGCAAUUUGGAGAACUUGAAUACAAAUAUCUGUUAAUUAAAAAAAAUGCAGGAGCGUGUUUGUCAGCUUGUAAUUAUGUAAACAGGAGUACCAACUCCCAAACUAAUUUAAAAAAAAAAAACAAAAAUAACUUUACCAGCGGCUUUACAAAAGAUUCCACGUCUCUACAUGGAGCCACUAACUUUCUUCAGAGAAUCCCAAAAGCCUUUGCAAAUGCCUGAGGUGUCUCCAGGGGUGACAGGUUGGGUUAGUAGCAUAAGUAGGAAAACAGGACUGGGGUGACAGUUUUGUGAUCUGAUUCUCUUGUAUACCUUCUGAUGAUGAGACAUAGGUUUUUCCCAGUCCAAGCACUGUUGACGUAGGCAGGAUAAUGCUGUCACGGAAAGUGUGGGAAGGCAGCCUAUUUGGCCUCUUCCACUACAAGUCAGUAGUGCCCACUCCCUCAUUGGUUGUGACACACAAAAAUGCCUCAUGGAACUAAAUUGCCCUCAGGUGAGGACCCCUGUCAUUUUUAUUUGCUGUAUAAUAUGCAUGGGUGGACAUUCUGAGUUUAUGACCCUGGCUGGGUACUGGCUUUUCUCCAUGUUUGUCUCCUCAUCUCCCACAUGGAUGUGAUAAAUCCCACAAUGGCAUUUCACGGGGUUGCCACGAAGAUCAAAUAAAAUGUGGAAGAUUUUCAAGCACAGGAAAGGACAUUUGGAAGGUGAGGUUUUAUCAUGGUUAUUGUUGCAUGAUGGCCCCUAAAGUGCAAGGCUGGCCCUACUCCUGGAAAACAGCCUGGCGAUUUUGACCUUGGGAGUAUGGUGCUUUCUAGCUCCCUGGAGAGGCAGUUAGAAUUACCUUUGCACAUGGCCAAAGAACACACAGGAAAGGCAUGCUGCACAGGAAAAGCUAAGGGAGAGAAAAUAUUCUACAGACACAAAAGACAAGACUGGAUGAGGGGCUCAGCCUCCCCUCCAGGGAGACAGGGUAUCCAAGCUACUCUGCUGCUAUUAGUUUGUGUAAAAGGGCAUUUUAGGUUCCCGUUUCAUAAUUUUAAAGCCUUUUUACUGUAUCAAAAUAUCACAUUGUAUCCCAAAACACGCAUUAUUAUUACUUAUAAGUUAAAAAAAAAAGUUUAGAUGUCUCAUAAAUUAGGAGCACUGGCUGCUUGUCUGGAGGACCCAGCCCCCAUGGAGCUCACAACCAUCCGUAACUCCAGUUCCAGGGAAUUCCCAUGCCCUUUUCUGGCUUCUGCAGGUACCAGACUUGUAUGUGGGAACACAUAUAUUUAGCCAGGCAAGAAAGACAGCUAAAUACAUAAAAAUAAUAAAAUAUAAUAAUAUUUUUUUAAUUAUUUUUAAAUUAUUUUUAAUUUAUAUCUUCACCUUUAAUCCCGAUAAUGCAGUAUUUUUUUCAUGAAAGAAUAAAGAAGUUGUUAGUUGUCUGAGAAGGCAGGUGAUAUCUUGAGAAGAUGGCUUUUCAAUGAUCUUCUAGCUCAAGAAUUCUGAGGCUUCAAGCCAGGUCCUACCCUUACCUAAUUAGGUUUUUGGUGCUCAAAUUCUUUAAUAACCAUAGCUAUCACUUUUUGAGGACUUUUCUAUCCAGAACAUAAGUUGAUCAGUUCCUAUUUGUUAUCUAAUCUUCCCCACAGGUCUAUAAAGUAUGUGUGUUCCUAUUUUGCAGAUGGGAAAGCUGACACAUAUGUCACCUGCCUCAGAAAACACCUGUCAUUAUGUCAGCAAAGCAGAUAAAGAGAAGGGUCUGAAGACUCAGAGAUUCCAGGGCCAUAGAGAGCAGGUCUACUUCACUAAAGCCAUUUAGCUUUAGGAGAGACAGAGUUCAUUUGUUGGGUGAACCCUUGGGGUCCCCUGGUCCACACCCCCUCAGCCUCAAGUGUGAAGGCCAAAAGGUUUAUAACAGUUUGAGAGAUUCCUACAUUGCAGACAAUAAAAAAGAAAGACAGGCAGGCAAAGCUGACAGCCUGAGUGUUGCAUAUACAAUCAAUACAUCCAAGACAACAGUUUCUGCAGAAGAGCGCCUCGCUUAUUCAAGUCCCCUAGAGACGUACACUGCUCUGACAGUCACAGAAAUCCUGACUUGAUACAGAUCUUUCAUCUUCAGCCGGCUUCCCAGCUUUUUUAUUUUAUAUUAUUAAAUAUUAAACCCUAUAAACAGGUUCAUUUGGCUGUCCAUAUUGCCCGUCAGAUUGCCCUUUUGUAAGUAUUUCUAGAGGUACUGGCAUGCCUUGCUUCCCCGGGCAAUGACUGCAAGCUCCAAAUCCUACUGUAGGAUGAAGCAAGUCCUACCAAAGGACUCCUCAGUCCCCCUUUUCAGGUCCUGGCAUUAGCUCUGCAGUUACGUCUCCCCAAGUCAGAUUGUUUCCUUUGAACAUGCUAGUCAUGUUAUUAAAAUUAUUUCUUUCCUGCAUCAGAUUUAAAGCCUGUUGAAAUAAUUUUUUAAACUCUCAAAUUUUGAAGGGUGAGCCCUAUCCCCUCAAAACUCUAGUGUGUGAAUUUCACAAACCACACAUUCCUGCUCCUGACUUGAUAUCCAGCAAGCAUCCAAGCAUCCAGCAACCCCUGUUUCCCCCCUGUCGUUUGCUGUUUCUCUGGAAUUGCUCAUUAUUUCCUAAUAUUGAAUAUCCAGAGAAAAACAUAAUUAGAGCAGCAUGAUACAUGGGGAAAUAAUGUAUUCUGAAGGCAGAAGGAAAUAAGAUCAUUGAGCUGGCUGAUGUUUCGAUUGUCCAGGGCUCUGUCCUCUCCAAUAGCAGAGAGAACAGAAACUUGGGAAUACCUGACGGUAACAUAAUUGCAUCGAUGCAUCCAGCUGUGAAUGACUUUGGUAUUUUUUAUUUCAAAACGUUUCUAAGUCUCAGCACUCCAGGACCCCAUAGUAAAAGACAAGGACCUCCUGAGUAUUGGAAUCUAGUAACUAUUGUUCAAACAGAACAAUAGACCAGGAACUGUUUCCUCCCAGUGACUUUGGCCUAACCAUCGAUGUACUAUCACUUAAGAGUUGAGUGCUAAUGUUCAAAAGUAAAAUUUAUGAUGUGUGAACAUUCAAAUCAUCCCUGAAUAAUCAAUACAGAUGACCAUCCCACAUAGGUUUGUUGACAAUGGGUAAUAAAUUAACUAAAUAAACUCAUUCAAGUGGGUUUAUCAUUUUACCAGGGAAUUUAAUCAAGACACUCUCCUGUUAGAUCUUUGCUAGCUUCUCUGACACCCAUCGCAAAGCAUCUUUAUGGCCUAUGCUGUGCUUCCUGUGGCCUGGGCAAAAAUAUUAACCUUUUCUCGACUUCAAGGAUUAAGAUGUUGAGUGGGGAGAGCAACAUGUUUAAACAUCUGGCAGAGGGUGAGGCACUUUAAUGAGGGUUUGAAAAAGACUUUGAACAUGAAGUGCUUAUGUUAAUAUUGCUUUCCAAUGCCCUAGACAGUCUAAUAAAAUGGCAUCUUAAUCUAUGUCACAGCUAAUUCAUUUUGGAACUGAGUCUACCAUAUACAGAUUUCAGUGUGGGGGUCACUGUGAAGAUUUCUUUGCCUUGGCGGCAAAUAUUGACCUGAGUUUCCAUCAAUAUUUACCUUUUGAGUCAAUAAAUCUGUGUUGACCUUGAUAAAAAGUCAACAUUUCCACCACAUCUCAAAGUCUUCCUCAUCUGUGCAGUCUGUCACUUAACUCUCUUCUAAUAAGUCUUUAUUUACAGGAGCUAUGAUGCAGCUGUUGGCAUGCCCUCAGGGGUGAAGCUGCAGGGCGUGUCCUUAGGAAUUUGUGUAGAAAUGCUGAAGUGAGAAUAUCAUAGUGCUUCUAAGUGAAUUUUUCAUACUAUGUCCUUAUACUCUCUUCCCCCAGGAAGGGGCUUUCUCAGAGGUUCUUUCUACUUACUGUAGCAUAAAAUGCCAAGCAGGCAAACUGCUAUCAGAGCUGUCAAAUUGGACAGAGGCAAGAAAGAAGUUAUGUCCAACUUGGGUAUAGAAAUAAGACACUGAACCCUAAUCUGGCCACCCUGUGGUCAUCAGUAAUGCUCUUCAUAACUAGACCAUGCAUGGUUCCGAACCACAAAUGCCAAAUGGAUUCUGCUGGUUCACAGGCAGAUUGUAUCACUCUAUAAUUGUUUCUUUAUUGAAUAGUUAUUUGAGAAACUGCUCUCUGCCUGACUUUGAAAUGCAUUAUAUUCCCUUUUGCACAAAUAAAAUUGUCCUCUCUUCAGAAUCCUACCAUUGCCCAACAAACUUGUUAGAAGUUGAGAAUCUAAAAAGGCAUAGUCAGGCUCCUAGUGCUAAAGGGACAUCCUAUAUUAGAUAGAUACAGUUAAGUUGCAUCUUCAUUUUUUUCUAUAUCUCUAUACACACAAAGUCUUAUGCACAUACUAUUUUCAUAUGCACAAGGACGGGUUGGGAAAUGGCCCAUUUCAGUCACUUCCAGCCAUUUGCAAACAUGCUACAAGCAUCAUGUCAUUUGUGGCUACUGGGGACUAGUCAAGGAGGUUGUAUUGGUUGAAGACAUAAGAAAUGUGUACCCAAUAGUGGAACUACCCACCUUGGGGGACAUAUGGAGAAGAAGGGGGACAAGGACAGUUGGGAAAUGCCAAAUCAAUAGCACAGCUGCUGUGUUCAUCAUGUUUUGUCUUUGGGGUUUGAAUUUAAUUGCUCUCCAUAUAGAUUCUAGUAGAAAAAAUGGUUCAUCACAAAACAUUUUGCUUAGAAAUGUUGCAUAGAUAAACAGAUUUCUAGAGUAAAUGUAUGUAAAACUCAAAACCCUGCCCAACACUCCUGUAUGAUAAAUGAGACUUUUUUAUGCAUUUCCCAUUGAUUUAUCUGCUUUUAAUGGGCCCAUUUGCAAGCAGCAGUGCAUCCAAACUCUAAAGGAUAGUGUGUGUGUGUGUGUGUGUGUGUGUGUGUGUGUGUGUGUGUGUCUGUUUGGUGAAGAAUGAUAAAGAGAAGGCUGGCACUUUAUUUAUUUCAGGAAACUGUUAGAAGGCUGACUCUCUCCAACAACUUCCUAUUAUUUUAUCAGCACUAUCAGCAAUUCAGCCCCAAAAACUCAUUUUUCAUUUGCUUAGAUAUUUCCAAACAGUUCAGAAAAAAAAAUACACUGAUGAGAUGGAAAGGAAGGGGCUGGCUCUAGAGUGACACUCAAGUUGGGUCCAUUCUGCCUGAACUUUUGGCUUCCUCUUCAGCUUUCUGUGCACAAUUUUCAGGGCAUUGUGGGCUGCAUCUUUUCCAAACCACAGCCAGCUCAGCAUUUCAGGCUCUGGACGGUUGGCAGCUGCCUGGAACCAUGAUUCCAAUCAAAUCCAUCUUCAUGACUUAGAUUAAUUGAGCUCCAGGAGUUUUGCUCUGUUUUGGUCCUUUGACCCAAAGCCUUGAGAUCGCAGGCAGUGAGUGAUCUGACAGUGAAGAACUUAAAUAUACUCAUGGGACUCCUUAGAAAGACUGGGCUUGCCUUAGUCCUUGGCUGGAUUUCUGAAAACAACAAACAGAAAAGCAAAACCAGACAAACAAACCGACCAGCAUCUCCUCCAACAGUUCAUCCUGGCCCACAGGGGGUCGUUAGAUGUUAGCUACCCUUCUUUGAAGAGACUUGUUUGCUUCUGUUUCCUCACUUCAAAUUUAAUCAAGGAGAAUUUGCCUUUUAUUUAUUUCUGAAACCAAAUUAACUUCUCUUUCUAUUUCUUGUCUCCUGAGUCAGGCUAAGUUUCCCUUAUAGGCUCUGCCUCCUUCCUGACACCCCACAGAUCGCCAAACAAACAUCAUUCAUUCAUCAAGUCAUUCCUUCAGGAAUCAGCUAUUAUUAAGUAUUUGCUGUUUGCCAACCUCACAGCCUGAAAGUGAAGGGUUGAAAGAAUGGGUCCCUGGUAAUUUCUACACAGAACAAGUACAGAAACAGACCUCAAAAGGCAAGUUUCUGCCAACCUUGGUCAUUAACUCUGUUGACAGGAGGAAGUCAAGAAUGGCCUAAGGCUCUGAGAGUGGCUAUAGUAAGGACUGUGUAGAUUUGAGAGCAGUCAGAAGUGUGGGGGGGGGGGGAGGGGAGGUUGUCUGCUCUAGAACUCCAGACUUCCAGUGGAUUUAUCAACAUCAAGAGGUACAGCCCAACACUGGUACCUGAGUAGGAUGUGGGACAUACUCUCCUGGGUAGGAGACAAGAAUCAGCUGGGUAUUGAUGAUGUUAUUGUCUUCUUCAGACAAGAAGAAUGAGGAAGACUUCUGAGAUACCCAAAGGAGGGAUACCAAGAUAAUGGUUGACUAUGGGAUUGGCAUUUCUGAAGUGAUCUGGAACUAAUGAUAAAGUUUGGAAUUUUGUGAAAUAAAAACUGAUUAUUGGAGGGCUGGAUGGAUGGCUCAGCUGUUAAAUGCCAAGGCUAUACAGCCAAGAAGACAAAACUGGUUGUUAUAGUCGUGGUGGCCAGUAAUAUUCAUUACUUAAGUGAAUGUGAAAAGUAAAGAGAAAAAUGUCAAGAGAAAGCCACAAUAAAAAAAUAACAUUUGGAGAUAAAUGAAACCAAUCGUGUGUGUGUAUGUGUGUGUGUGUGUGUGUGUGUGUGUGUGUGUACGCACAUGUGUGUUUAAUGCAGAGGGGGUCAUAUAAGAUAGAUUGGCUGGUUGAUCAAUAGGUGGAUGGAUGGAUGGAUGGAUGGAUGGAUGGACAAACAGAUAGAAAGGUAGAUGAUAGAUAGAUGGUAGAGAUUUAUUAUAAGGAAUUGGCUUAUAAGUGAAUAAUUGAAUAUAGAGACUAAAAUGCCCAAACACUGAAUAGCUGGAAACUAGAGACAUAGGAGAGCUUAUGUUCUCUGAGCCUUCAUUUGAACCUCAAGAAGAGCUGAUAUUUACAGUAAAGGAAAUAUGAGUGUCCAUGCUCAAGGCAGUCAGACAGGAGGCCUUCCCUCUAAAUGAAGACAAGGAAGGACUGAGAGACAGGGCUCAGUCCUUUGUCUCACUCAAGCCUUCCACCUGUUUAGACACUGUUUGGAAACACCAAGAAGACAAUCUCUUUCAAUCUACUGAUUGAAAUGCUGAUCUUAUUCAGAAAUAGCCUCACUGAGAUACCAGGAAAAGUCUAUCUAGAUAUCUGUGACCUAGUCAAGUCCAUAUAUAAAAUUAAGCACCACUAGGAGUAGGCAGUGGAGAAAGAAGCGAUGUAGAAGGCAGUAGAAAAAAAAAAGUAAAAGAAGUGUCUCAUGUGUGUGGAUAACCAUCUAACCCAUCUUAACCACCCUUUCUGGAAAAGUUCUGUAUUUGUGAAGUUGUAUGUGUUUUAACAUAAUGAAGCUGAAAAGCCAUGCGAGAACCACGGUAAGAGGUACUGUAGAUGUGUUCACAGAUGAACUGUCUUAUACCAUCAAGCUUGAUGAAAAGUUAGGCAAGCCCACUGAUAAACUGGGACACAGUGUAGACACGCCUUUGGGGUAGGAACAGGGACUGAUAAGUUCUGGUUAUAGCCACACAAGUCUGUGUGCCUUUGUUAACUGAAGUCUCUUACAAGGCCAGGGGAGAAAGAUCCAAUGAGCCAGGAGAUGGGAGGUGGGUCCAGAUGGAAGAAAUUCCUACAGAUGCUUGCCCAAAGUCAGAUAGAUAGCAUCUCAGUGGAGAUCCGGGCCAUGAAAACUCAUUUAGGGUCUGGCUUCCCUAGGAACAUCCCAGUGCUUCCAGCUUUCUUUGUGCGUGAUCAAUGUUCACAAUCACACAAUUAUUCUUUCCUAGUCAUACUCCCAGAUGUCUCUAGGUUUCAUUAUUUUUUUAGCUUUUUAUUGCUGUUUUUGUGAAUUUCACAUCAUGCACCCCAAUCCCACUCAUCUUCCCUUCCCUCCAUACCUACCUUCUGUCCUUGCAACCUCUUCCCAAAAAGAAAACAAAAACUAAAGAUAAAAAAAAAAGCCAAACAACAAAACAAAACAAAAACUUGCCAUGGAAGCUGCAGUGUGUCACACAGGACACCCUUUUGCCCAAGUAGCUUUACUUGCAAAUGUUCUUGUAAUGAACCAUUGCUCUGGUUUAGGCCUCUGGCUUCUGCUACACCAUCAAUACUGGAUCUUCAUCAGAACUCCUCUUGGAUAUCCUGUUGUUGCCCUGUGUCAUGGAGAUCCUGCCCCUUUGGCACUGCAGGACAAGCCUUCUUAUGCACUCCAGUGGAUCAUAGGUGGGGUAGAUGUUGGGGUGAGCCAACUCAAAGCACUGGAUCUGGGCCUGGGUGGUAGGUAGCUCAUUGGUCAGCUCUCCAACUCUCCUGUGCCUGUGCCACGAGGGCCAGCUCUCCUGCUUUUCCUGAGCAAGGGACAGGGGCAGCUCUCCUGCCUACAGCAGCUAGCAAGCAUGUAGAGAACAGCUCUCCCAAGCUUAUGUCACCAGGGCCAGCUCCCCAGCACUGCCCUAGUGACAGAAAGGGGCAGGGCCAGCUCUGCUCAGCCCUAGGACAUCAACAUGGCCCCACGCAGCAUCCAAGACUAGGGACAUCCGCAUGGCCUUUGGUGUUAAUAUGGUCCAUAGAAACAAACCCCCACUUCUUCGGGACCAUGGACACAGACAUGGACCUCAGUGGAAGCAUGGGCCAGGACAUCACCGUGGUCUCAGGUGGCAGUCCUUGUCUCUCACAUCAGGCUGUCCCUCACCGUCCUCGCAUUUCCAGUCACACCUCUUCACAGUGCGCAAACUUUUCUGCUGCUCUUUCUCUCCUGCCCCUCCACCACACACUCGUUCGCUAGCAGGGUGCCACCCACUUACUCUGUGGGCCACAGGGUAGCUACUGCAGACCCUUGGGAACUUCUGUGCUAGCGGGCCUCAUUAUUAUUAUUCUAAACUUCUAAACUGCAGCCACUAGAGGAGUCAGCUAGCAUCUACUGAGGGGCCAGCACUAUGUCCCCAACAUACUGUCUUUUGCCAGCUGGCCUUACAGAUGCACCAACAAAACCACGGUAUCAAAAUACAUGAGAUCAUAAGAACCUGCCAGACAUGGGUGACAAUAAAAGGUCCCCAGUUUUCGUUUGCCUUGUGCACUGCAAAUUCACACACAAGUGAACGUUACAGCUGCUGAGAGGGGGAGCAGCCUUCUGGGAUACGUGACACUGCCCAUUGAACAAAGAAGGAAUCUGACGGUUUUCUGGAAAAUGGUAAUGGCUGAUACCAAAUUCAGGUCUCUAUAUGUUGAUCUAAUAGUACCCAGUCCUUUACAUACAUGCCCUCCUGGGCAUAGCUCAAGGAAGGUUGGCCUCAGAUGUCCUUUCUGUCUCAGCAGAAGUCAGUACUGCUCAGCUAGAAGUCCUCUGCCCACACCAGGGCCACUCUGCUUCACAGAGACGUCCUUCAUCCAAGAACUCAUGAGUUGUCAAUGUGUCAGCCUUUCUUUGUAGCCUGGGUUCUUCUUCAUGCUGGGAAAUCACUAACCGGUAGGGCUAAAGCCUCUUUUCUCAGGUAUGCUGAGCAGCAGAUAGACUCACUCUGAGUUCUCACUUUCCUCUGGCAACCCGGGAUAAAAAUUUAAAUAUUAAUGCUUGACAAUUAAUCUCUGAUUGGAAAGAAUUGCAUAUACUGUAUGUGUUACCUCCGGACACUCCAAUUUCCAAUCUGCACAAUGAAGAUAGCAUCCUGAAAACAGGAUGUAGUCAUCAAUUAGCAAUGUUCUACAGGACAGAUAGAUCUGCAUUAGUGAGCAACUUUCCCCACCUGAGCAAUGGGUGAUUCUAAGCAGCAAGACCGGCAGAGGAAGUAUAAAGAUGAGCUAUCCGGCUUCAUAUUAAGUAGCUAAGGAUGGAAGUUGGAAUGGCAAUGUCCAUGAAGCUUGAGCAUCUUUCAUCCUCACUAUCUUCUUAGGGCUGAUCUCUGUGUUCCUUUGGCAUAUGCUCCAGCAAAAGGUUUUGAUUGAGGCUCAGUAGGGAUAUGACACAAAAGGUUGACUCUGGCUCCUUCUAUGAAGACUUUGUUUGCUGGAAGAAGUGGGAGAUAGAAUGCUUACUUGGCAUGCAAAAAGGCCCUAGGUUUGUCCCACCAAGAAACAGAAGCUGACAGCAUGCGGUACCAGUAACGUUGGUUCCUAUGUCAAGAACGUACCUGAGAGACAUGUGUGUGAGUACAAAUUCUUACAGUGAUGGGUAAGAAUCCUGGGCCUGUUUUUCUGUCUUUGUGUCACCAAGAGGGUGACAACUAGAAGUACCAGGCAGCAGUUGUAAAAAGUUCUUGUAGAUCCUUGGCGAGAGGUUGUUGGACCAGAACAGUGCUUUGUGAUUUCUUAUUAUAUUUAAUGGAAAAUUGAAGCACUCAGAUAUUUCCAAAGUGUAAUUUGUUCUGAUGGGUGGGCCGACAGUGGAUUGAGCUGCUUCACCAGGGAAGAGGCAAAAAAAUAAAUAAAUAAAUUAAACAAAUUAAUGACUGUGACGCAUUCCAGGGGAAAGAAAAUGCAGUUGAUAAUCCACCCCCACUCUGGUCCCAAACAAAAAUCAUCAUUUUUAUUGCAGUCACAUCUCCUUGGGCUGCUGCUUCUUGUGAGUAUUUUUAAAGAAAACUUCCCCUCCAGUCGUUUUCUUUAGCCCAAUAAGCACAGUUGCUAAUUUUCUCUCAUUUGGAGAUUUCCCCCCUGGAACCAUAUGCCAUUAAAAUGCUUAGACAUGUGGAAAUGGACUGAUGAAGAUAUGAGGAGACAGGGAGUUUCAGAUGAGGAGAGACUUUGUCAGAUGGAUGAUUCUGACAUCAGAUUCCCUAACUGAAAGAGAAAGAUCCUGCCACCUACGGAAGGGGGAAAUGAGAGAGGGGCUUGUAUCCAGUCUCUGGGAUGGUCCAGCAGUCAGUGAGAGAGGGAUGGAGGGAUGGAGGCUUUGUGUUUGCAUGUAUCAUUCCAUUCCGUACCUAGCAUUUAGCGAGUGCGUAUAGAUUGAAUGAGCAAAUGAAUGAGUGAGUGAACAAUAUGGACAAGUGGCUGAAACAGAGUGUAGGGGAAAGUGAGGCAGGGGGCUCAUACACUGGUAGCUGUUCUUACCCCCUGACAAAAGAGGACAAGCCUGAGUGUACAGGUGGGCUUUGGCAUGAGUUUCUAGUAGCGUUAUGGUCCCAGAGCCCCAUGGCCCCUUCUUCAGAAGGCAUUUCUCAUUUGCAUUUAUUUGUGCAAUUACUCAGCUCAUGCUUCCAUGGAGAUAUUCAAACUAUUUAAGAAUUGAUAUUUUCAUGGCUCCUUCUAAUCAGAACAGAUGACAUUUUGCAAUCCUCAGCAAUGAAGCCCCCAGCAGGAUGGUUCAGAACAGCCCUGAUGGACUCUCUCAGGAGAGUGAAGCAUUCUGGGAAUGCACAUCACCUUUAUCUUUACACCUUCUUAAAGCACCUAACGCAGGGCUAUGGGCUAAGUCAAACUCCUUACUUUAGUCACUGGGCAGAGUAGCUACUCAAUAAACACACUCAGCCUUCCUUACCUUUGUGUUCUGUAUCCAUGGACUCAGCCAGCCAUGGCUAGAAAAUGUUUGUGAGGAAACAGUUCUGUCUAUAAUGAAUAUAUAUGGAUGAUUUCCUCUUGGCCAUUAUUCCAUGAACAGUAUAAUAUAUUGAUUUCACUAGGACUAAGAUUGUCUUAGGUAUUAUCAGUAACCUAGUCAUGAUUCCAAGUGCGUGCAGGGGUAUUUUUAAGCUAUAAAUGAACACUAGCUUUUCAUAGAAGAUGUAAGCAUUGGGGGAGUCCUAGAGCCAAUCUGCUUUGGGUGCGUAAGAGCUGGCUGCUGAUAUAUAGACUGGGAAAUGAAUGGUGUAAAGAUGGAAUGAUCUGGAGUGGGGUGAAAUGAAAUGUAUCAGGGAAUGUUAUUGUCCCCAGAUACUAUCCUACCCAAACUAUGGGGUGACUUGCCUUCCUUCUGGGGCAAGAUGAGUCUCUCCUAGGACUUUAGUGUGCUGGAAAGCGGGGGCCGGUGCAGACACUGGGUCCACAGGCAUCCAAGGCACUUCCUCCAGAGCCUUCUCUGGCUCGGCAAAGUCAAUCUGUUAAUGCUCUCCAGCCUCCUUCUCUUUGUUAGGGAGCCCAGUGUAUUAAUUAAAAACUGCAGGCAGCUGUAAGUAUCUCCAGAACAAGGAUUAAGCCAGCUUUCUGUCAAUUGCUUUCAAAGCCAUUGCUAUUUGCUAGAGCAAUGCUUUCUUUAGGGGUUAAAGCAACUUGCUUUUCACUUUUCUAUCUCUUCCAUUACCACAUCACCCUGCUGGCCCCUUCCCCUGAUCUGUGCUUUAAAUUGACUGCAAAAGGAAGGCCGUGUGCAAACGGCACAGCAGUCCCCUUCAGAUAGACACACAUCCUCAAGCAGAGCCAGCACAGGAGAGGCCCAGGCCCCGGUACUUUGACCAAUCUCUCGCCCUCAGUUUUGUUAAAGUAUUAUUAGUCAGUGCUUAGGUGUGCCAAUGACAGCGAGAGGGAGAUAGAGUUUCAUUCUACAUAACCCAUUUUCGUUCAUUCUUAUUUUCGCCCCUGUGGCCUAAGAGUUGCUCCAGGAGAGAAAGGUAUACCUGCCAUGACAAAAAAAAAAAAAGAAAGAAAAGAAAGAAAGAAAGAAAGAAAGAAAGAAAGAAAGAAAGAAAGAAAGGAAGGAAGAAAGGAAGAAAGAAAGAAAGAAAGAAAGAAAGAAAGAAAGAAAGAAAGAAGGAAAGAAAAAAAGAAAGAAUGGACAGAGCACAGGUAGGCCUGCAGGGGUAAGCCAGGGACUCUACAGAGGUGAAGCCUGCCGUGGUCAAUCCUCAAUACGUGAUGACCGUUAAGACAAAGUACCUGCCAGGUUCUAUUUUAAGGGCUCUGCCCAGGUUGGAAGACAACACUGUGAAUCAAGCCAUGCUGUUUUUAAGGCUUGUGAAGGUUGGCUUGAGGCCUGGGUCAUGGACAGGCAGGGCUGCGCACUCUAUGUCAUUCCCGGCCCAUAUAUAAGCCGGAAAAGGACAUGGGAGGAGGGAGGCGAACGCCUACAAAGGCAGGGCAUAGUUAAACAUCUCAGAGAUUCCAGAAAACUUGUAAUUUACAGAUCUUUCAUGUUAUCAGCAGUGAAUAUUAAGUAAAUCAAUAAAUUCUCCAUUGAAGUGAUAAAUAAUCAACAAUAAUAGCACAAAAAUCAGUCUGAACUCAACUCUAAUGUGACUGUAAAAUAAAAUGUCAAAUCCAAAGCAGGCUUUAUUUAUUUAUUCAUUUUGAGGGCAAAUGGGAACUGCCUAGAAUCCCUCUCUAAUAGUGAGUGUGAGCCGUUGAGGUUGUCACUUCCAAGCUUACAGUGACACCCUUGACACCUCACAGUGCCCCCAUUUGAAAGCCUGUGGAACUAACUGAAUAUGAAAUAACCAAAGUCCUGUGUGCACCCACACGCACUCAACGUGGCAGACGUGUCUUGUUGCUGUGCUACCCAGCAAUACACUGUGAAAACAGCUCCAGCAAGGAAGGCAAGGGGAAGAGAAGAGAUCUAAAUCAGGAUAACAUAAAUAAGCCUGUGGCAGGCAGAGAAACCCAAACAUCUAAUAACACCAGGGGAAAGUCACUGCAGAAUUUAUAUAAAAACAGUAUAUCAGACAAGCUAUGUGAGAGACCUUAGAGAGGCAGAAAUCAUGUGUGAGCACACACACACACACACGCUCACACACACACACACGCUCACAUGCACACAUCAUCUCUUCUUUGCUAUUGUGUAGUUUAAAUGUGUAAGAAUUAUUCUUUUGUGAAAAAUUGGAGGUCAAUUUGAUUAUUUGCUGGCACCAAUCAAUCCCUUUUAUUUGGCUAUACUUGUAAUCUCUUUUCUCUCCUCUCUCUCUGUCUCUCUCCCUUUCUCUCUCUCUCUCUGUGUACGUGUGUGAGUGUAUGUAUUAUAUCUGACCUAUACUUGUAAUUGUACAUAAAUAGUUCCAUUGUGGCCUGUUCACACUUGCAUCUUUCAUCUUCUUCUCUAGAUUUUAUUGUCAGAAUGUUUAAGUCAUAAACAUAGGUUUGGGGAAAUGACUGUCAGUAGUAAAAUGCUUUAUGCUCCAGCUUGAGGACUUAAGUUUGUUACAGUAAAGUUGGGGGUGGCAGUGCAUGUCUGUGGCCCCAGUCCUGGGUAGACAGUGAAAGGAGGGUCCCUGGAGCUUGCUAGCCAGUCAGUCUAGCUAAAACAGUAAGCUCAAGGUCCAGUAAGAGACCCUACCUCAAAAUACAACAUGGAAAGCAACAGAGAAAACCACCCAGUGUUAACUUAGGGCCACCGCAGCAUACAGUUGCGUACAGAUGAAAUUUAUCAUGAACAAAACUCAGUUUUUCCUCAUAUUUCCUUUACUUCCCCAGACACCUUCCAGGAUAUGUAGGAUAAGUAAACAUGGAUUUGUUCUGGCCAGUUUUUGUUCAUGGUUGGCCUAGUUUGAAGCCGAAUUUCUACCCUUCCUUCCCUUUCCUCGGUCAACCGCUUCCUUCUUCUGGGUGAGUUCAUUCUUCAGGACUGCAAUAGCGGAAUGGCAAGAAUAUCCAGGGAACUUCAGUCGGUCCCUGAGGCAGAACAAGGAGAUCUGGGUGUGGCUAGAAGGUUUGCAUCUCCUUCUGGUUGUAUUGACUCCAGUGUCCCAUCACCCAUGACUGUGCAGCUGUUUCAGACAUAAUGCCUGACCCAAGAGGGCCGUUAGUCACUACAGAAGGAGAGGGACACAAGCAUGAGUUUCACACUGGGGUCUCAACCUCACAUUCUAGUGUCCCUCACCUGGUAACAUCCUGGUCUUCUGUCCUGCCUCACUGGUAAAUAGAUCUACACCCCGCUUCCAGCAGCAGCUGGCUCCAUGACUUCCUAGAUGCUCAGCACUCACACUGCUCAAUAAGACACGAUUCUGCAUCUACCGAGUGUGCUUCAGUGGGCCAGAUGCUACAGGCAAUAAACUGGAAAAUGUAAAACAUGGUUUCUGCCCCUCUGCAGCUUAUGUUCUCAUUAGAGAAAAUUCAGAAAUAUGAAAAUCCAUUACUGAACACCCAGAACAUCCCUCUUGAUGUGCCACUUUGUUUUUGGCCUCGGCUCUUUUCUGUUUUAACUGAAAGUAAAGGGCACACGUGAUUCCACUCCUCCAAAAUGAUCUUACCAUGGGUGUUUUACAUCUGUGGUAGGCAGACAGCCAGAGAAAUGCUAACAUUUGGAUCUUGAAUGUCCCUCAAAUACCCACAUGCUGAAGGGGUGGUCCCCAAGGUGGUUUUAUUGGCUUCUGGUAGCAGCUUUGAGCAGGAGGUCAUAGGGAGCAGACCUUGGACACAGAUUAUGUAACUCAGAGUUUCUUCCCCAUUCACUGUUUUGGUUUCUGGGCAAUGUAGUGGGCAGUUUUGCUCUACCUACCAUCCAGCAUCCUCCUCGGAGGCUUAAAAGCAAUAUGUCCACCCAACCAUAGACUGGAACUUUUAAAGCACUGAACCAAAAUAAACCUUUUCUCUUCAUAAGUUGGUUAUCACAGGUAUUUUCUUACAGUGAUAGAAAACUGACUAGCAUAGGACAAAGGAAAGUCUGACAGUUUCAUUUGCUUCAAAACAUGUGAACACCAAGAGACUUUUUUUUAAACUGGUUGUGCAGUGUUGAAUUUUCUCCCACUUGAGAAAAUUCUCUGGCCUCCUAGACCAUGAAUCUUUCCUCUAACUGGUCUAAUAUUGGCAAUUCCCACUCCUUUGGGAAGGUCAAUCUUUGUUCCUAGGUAGACCUGACUUUCAAUCUCUUUAGUCACAUUUUAGGUAAAGAAGUUUGAGUGCUGAAUACAAAUGAGAUUCUUGAAAAAACAUCCUAGCAUGCCAGAGUUCCUAAGAUAAGCAUGCAGACAAGACUCAUGGUUUCCCACCCAACCUUCAUGCUGUGAGAUGAGAUGUUAAGAAAGAGGGAGGGAGGGAGAAAAGGAAGGGAAGGAAGGGGAGGGAGAGAGAGUGGCAUAAUGGCAUGGAACAGCACUGUUUGGCCAAAGUGUCCCCAGCAGUGCCUCACAGAGGCUAUAUCUUCUAUGUGGAGGAGGAAAGCGAAAGUGUCUUGAAAUAUGCCAAGCAUGAGUAAGGGCCUAAAGGCAGAAACAAGAAUGAAUGAUGAGAAAUUCAUAGUGAGGGGAGAAGACUUACCUGAGCUGGACCAUUUAUGAGUCAUGAAAUUAGGUGACUAAAUGGGCAGAGUCAAAAAGACUUUAAGCACCAAACAAUGCAAACAGUGGUGAGCAGUGUUGUUGUUAUGGACAUCAGACACCCUCUUAUAUCUUAAGGCUGAGAAAUAAUGUAAUGCUUAGGAUGAGAUUUGUGGCCAGAUGCCUUACAUUCCUCUUGGGCCCAUUGCCUGAUCUAUCUUGGACCCCAAACACACUGACAUGCAGAUUUCUUGGAUUCUUUAUUUUGCCUUGAAUGUACACAGUAGAGAACUCGAUGUGAGCUUGGCUGGUUGCUCUGAAGGAAAGGGCUGUGUUGUGUGUGCAUCUGUUGAUGCAACUGGUACCCAGACCAUCUGUGGGUGGUUCCUGCCAUUCUUAGCAACCUUCCUCUCUUGGAGAAUGAAGGCAUCUACGUUGAGUCACUUGGUGGCCACUGAAUUUUAUUUUCGGAAUGUGUCCUAGAUACAGCAGGCUUCCUACUCACCAUGCAGAAGAAAAUGCCCUUUUAGAAGAGGAUCCCUAUUUGCCUGACAACAGCACUCUGCUACUGCAAUCUCUCUUUUGUCAGAGGCUGAAUGGGGAGAUGCUAAGCCUUUGCUCUCUGCCUGCAAGAGCCCAGGGAAAACCUAAGCAUCCUGGGGUGCUCCCAGUCUGACUUACAGCUUUGUGUCACUCCAUGGGAAGUGAACCACCAUUUCAGUGUUUCAGAAUAAUCAGAAUAGUAAAAUUUAAGAGCUAGAAGGAACAAGAGAUUCCAACAAAUCCCAUCAUUUCCUCUACAGCAGUUCCAGUAAAGGGUCAUUCUACAUAGUCUUGCUAGCUUCCCCCACAAAGAUUCCUAAUUCAUGGUGCCCAGGGAACUCAUCAUUAUUGUGGAAACAUUGAACUAUGUAUUGAGAGCUUACUAAAAAGCCAUAUGGGUCCAGCUGACUCAUGUCUAAAAAUUUGAUUGAAGGAAUGAAUGAAUAAGUGAAUAUGGAUAAAUAAAUGUAUAGUAUUCCUCUCUGUGUGCACCAGUGGAGAAUCACUUAACAGUUUGAAAACUUGUUGGAGAAUGCUAAAUGUUAAUAUAGAAAACAAAGAAUAACCAACAGUUUUGCCCCUUGCUGUGUGCCAGGCACUUUUCUGAAAACCUUCCAUGUGUUGUUUCAUACAUUCUUCACUAGGUCCUAUGUGCUUUGUGAGGUAUGUAUAUGUAUGCUCGGAGCACUUGGAAGUGAGUGCUUUAGAAAUUUUGAUGGGCUGCUGGAGGUGCCUCCCUUCUCACACCCCUUCCACAAGGGCUCCUGAAUUUCUCUGCUCUCAGAUUCGAUGCUGCUGAACUAAUUUAUUGGCCCAGGCCAGCCACCUUUUCCUCCCAUCCAGGCAAACCUGACUGCCAGAGCAGGUGUGGGUUUUAGUGGGGCUUGGGGAGAAAGAAAGGAGGCACAGAGAAAUCCUGGAGGAAGAAAACUGAGUCCUGCUGGUCUAUUAAAUGUGUCUUUUUCUCAGAUGCUUCUUCCUGGUUAGAUGUUUCCCAUGGCUUAGAAAACCUGAGUCCCCCAGAGCCAGCUUCUUCACUCAGCCCCAGAGCAGAGAUAGCCAGGGUCUCCGCAUGUCAUUCUACUUCCUUUUAACUUUCAGCCUAGUCCUGACCCUGUCUGUGGUUGGGACAGGACUGAGAGCAUCAAGGUUCUCAGUUGUACUAAUCUCUUUCUAUAAAGAAAGAUGGGUUCAUAUAGUAGAAGAGCUUUUACUUUAUUCUGAUCUUGAAACUUUACCAUUUUUUUUACUAUCAAGUGCAAUUUUCAAUAAUAUAGAAUUGGUUUCUUAUUAAAUCAUAGGAGAAAGAUAUCAAGCGUGGUAGGUAUUGUACUUUAAGUUGAUUACAAAAAGCAUUUAUUGAGGUUUAACCACUAAGAAGUGGAUAGAAAAUCAAUUACACGGUAGUUAAGCAUCCAAUAAUAUGUGUUUUAAUGAACAAUUCAUAUUUAACACCUCUUAUGAAAUAAUGAGCUGUGCUGGAGUUUGGGGACAGCCAAGCAGCACUUGGGAUAUAUGAGCUGACGCUCAGGGAACCUAGUGUCAUGUUUGCACCAAUAGCAUCUCAGAGCUUUGGAGCAAUGGUAUGUGAGGUCUGUCUGGUUCACUGCCCAUGCCAACUUCAUGCCUCAGCUGGCGUGUGGGAGUUUCCCCGUCUAGACAGAGAAGUGACAGUGCAGAGGUGAGGCUGGUCUGAAGGAGUAAUCAGAGCCCUCAUAUCAUCAGUGGUGCCAUGCUCUGCGACACUAGCCUUUCAGAUUUCCUGGGUACGUGAAAACAGUGUAAUUCUUUUCUAAUUCCAUUCAGUCUUAAACAGCUGCUGAGACCCACUCUCCAUUGCUGGCUACAGUGUCUCCCACGUAAUGUGGGAGUCAGAUCCAGGACUCUCUAUCUGAAAGCUCCGUGUGCCAGUUGUGUGUACAUAUGUAACUGAGCUCAUUAUAAUCCAGGCUUCUACUUUAAGGCUGUCCCAACAAAUCAAACGUGAUUUUUAAGAUCAGAAGGAGGUGGGUCAUUUCAGCACUUGCCAAGAUAUUCACAUUUCCAUCUUCACUGAGAGUUGGCCUGGAAUUCUCUGUCUCUGCUUCGAUUCUGGGCUCUCUAACAUGUGGCUGAUAGGCAUAAGGGAGUCCACAGGGUCUUCUUGUUAUCGGUAUUGUUGUUUUGUGUAUGCUCUAUAUAUGUAGUCAUGUAAUGCAUAUAUGUAUGUGUUCAGGCGCAUAAACAUGUGUGUUCUUGUGCUUGUGAAAGCCGAAGUAUCUUCCUCUAUCCACUUUAUCUUUUGAGAAAAGAGUCUCUUGCUGAAUCAGGAGAUCUGCUGAUUGGCUGAACCUGCUGGCCGGAAGUGCCUAGAAGUCUGCCUCUCUCCAGCCCUGCCCCAGGACUAGGACUACAGAUGUGUUCUGCCAUGCAGGCCUUUUUACAUGGGUGCUGGGAAUCUGAACUCAGGUCCCUGUGCUUAAACACCAAGCAUUUUACUCAGUGAGCAAUCCCCUACCCCCUAGUAGUCCACAGUUUGCUCCUCUCAAGAGUCCUUCAGUUUAUCCAAUUCACAGAUAUUUGGCAGAGUUACAGGAGAGGUGAAGGAGAGCACAGAAGUGGAAGACAAGAAGAAAAUAGCUGUGUUCAGAUGACCAUCAAAAAUGAGAACCAGCAAGCACAGAGAAUACAAAAUGCCCAUUUCAAAAGGACCUCCAUGGGGAAGGUUAGCCAUGGGUGGGAGAGGCUGAGUGGGAAAAGGACUUGAGGGGUGGAAUGAGGUAUUGAUUUACAAACACUGGCUUUGCCUGGCAUGAAAACCAUGGGUCUUGGGUCCAAGCUGCAGUGGUGUCUGAGAACUGGCAGAUGGGAUUGGGCUCUAGUGCCUGGCAGACUGCUUUUUGGUUCUUUCUGCCACUUGAUAACUAUAUGGCUAAGAGUUCAUUUCAUCCUCUAUACCUGAGGGUGUGGUGCAAAAAUUUCUAUACUAUCUGCUUGGUAUAUAUCUCUUACAUUCUAGUUAACAGGAAAUAUUGCUUGACCAAGAUGCAUUGGCAUUCACCUUAUAUGGUCAAUUUGUGAGGAUAAAUUGAAAACUCUUAUGUACUGACUGGUAUAUAACCAGUACAAAAUUAAUAUCAGAAGUUAUUAUUAUUACCUUUAUUACUAGGAUAUCCAAUCACCCGAUUUCUACAGCCAUUUAUCUAAGCAAUGUCCUUUCUGUCAUAAAUAUUGGGAUAUAUUUUAUGACCUCUUAUCAUAGAGACUGACAUAAAACAUGUUCUCAAGGUUUGUCAAGUAAAUGAAUCAAUUAAUUCAUAGAAUUUUAGUGUGGGGGAAAAUCAUUUGAGUGUAUAACUCUAGCUGUAGAUUAAAUGGACACAACCCAUUAACCCCUUUAUGACCAUGUAUAAAUAAGUAAGUUAAAAUGAAAUUUUAUUAAUGAAAAAGCUGAGACUAAGAAAGGCUAGGUAAUUUGGGCAAGAUGGAUACCAAACAGAUUUAUAGCCCAGGUCUUGAAAGUCCCAGUUUGGUGACAUAGUGUAUCAACCAAAUUUUCUCUUUCAGUAGACAAAGGUUGCUAUCUAGUUUCAAAGCCUCAGUGGCACAGUCUGGACUGCUCAUUCUGUGGUCUUGGGGGCCUUUAGGUCAUUUCAUGGGAAAUAAUUACAUUUAUACUUGAGGUUGUUAAUAUAGUGGGGUGAAAACACAUACUCUAGAAUUCUGUUUCAGCUUAGAAAAACAUCAACAGCUAUGUUUAUGGUUCGUGACAUCCUGAAUUCCAGGGGAAGUAAUAGAGGCCAUAGGCUCUAGGAACAACUCAUGGACAUGCCAGACAGAAGGUGCAGGGGACCAGUAUGCUGGGGUAGAGCUGGUGGCUCUGAAGAAAUGGUGGAUCCCUGCUGACUAUGUAUUCUGUAAUAAUGGCCCAAGAGAAUGGUGUUUUUGUAAUAGGUUGGUGAAAAAGAAUGGUGUGUGUGUGUGUGUGUGUGCAAGCAACAUGACAAGAUAACAGUGGGAAAGGAACAAAACAAAUCUGUGAAGUAAGGCAGAUGCCUCGAGAUUUGCAUCCUGCGCCAUCAAGACCUCCAUUCAGCAGCUCUUACUAGGAGGGCUUCACUCAUGGUGAGUAUUUGAUAAAUAGUUAAAUAAAACAGUCACUAAAAAGACCUUAACAGGCCACAGCUAACGAACACACCCAUGCCAUUGCAGCUAUUAAUCCCAACAAAGUGAUAACAAAGCCAUUCUUGAAACACUAACAGAGACUUAGAAUGCAGAAUGUAUGGUCAUCAACAUGUUUAGGUCAUCGCAUUAAGAUGGUGGCUCAACUGGGAGGUUCCCCCUGUCUUUUUCAGCCAUCUCAAGGAAAUGUGAGAGAACAUUCUUGGGUCUAAUGAGGCAGUUAAGGUGGGUGUGGGUUAACAGUAUCCCCUGAAGGCAGCAGAGAAAUCUGAGAUCUAUUUGCUCACAGCCUGGAGGGACAUCUGUAUAAAGAUUUGCUAAAUUGAAAGUGCAGUUUAAAAUGGCACUGAACUGCUCCAGGCCACAUUCUUCUAGGGACCUUGUGGAGACAGGAGAAAAGAAGAAUGGCAUCUUUGAAAGGCAAGUGAUGUGGGGCCUGGAAGGAGGGAGAGGAAUGAAGCUUCCAGACCAUCCAUAGUCUCGUAGAUGGAAGCAUUUCCUCCUCUGUGCUAGAGCAAUCAAGAGCUCACUUAUGGUGACUGUUGCUGACAGGCAGCUGAACAUCCAGCCACAGGUGCCAGGAUACCUAAGAAGGAUGGUGAUUGCAAGAACCACAGUGGACAGCAGAGGUUUGGGGAUGGGGGUGGGGGCAAGAAUACAAGCUGAAAAUCUAUGCACAUGUCAAAGCAGUUUUGUCAUUGCAGAAGCAAACCCAAAGUGAAGCCUAAUGGAGAACUCAAGGCAUAUAGAGUCUGUCAGUGAGAUUUAAUUUGUUUCAGAACUGAGAGAGUUGCGGGGGCCGUGGUUCUUGAUUGGAGUGGACAGCAGAGAGGUAGACGUGUGUGGCACAGGAGUGAUUCAUUCCAGAUAGGACUGGGGUAAACCAAUCCAAUAAAUCUCUUCAUUAGGGUCUUGAAUAAAAGGCAAGUGGAAAGAGGGCAGAGCAUAGCCUGCAGAUUAAAUUUGGUCAGAGCCAAUAUCUGACAAUCCCCCAUGCUGUUAUCCAAAUGAAAGCUAAUGCAACUAUGAAUUAGCAGCCCCAGGAGCCAUGGAAGAGGGAAUUCAAUUCACUAAACUCAGCUCUAGCCUAGACUGAGCGAGGAGCCGCGGGAGGCUGGUGUGACUCUCAAACACACAGGUAUUGGGAAGUACGAAGGUAUCAUCGGAUAAGAGAGGUGCGAUGCAGAGCCCUGGGUAGAUCUCAGCUCAAGUCUCAGGGAGUGGGCAGCAGGCCUUGUCUUGAGUUGACAAUGGGAUGGAAAAGCUGACCUUUAGGAGCCAAGAGCCUGGGAAGGCCACACUGAGUAUCAGCAGCCAGGAGCGUAUCCCUCUUCUCUCACCUUCAGCUAGCCAAUCUUGAGUAUUGCUUUCUUUACAGUGAGCCCAGGAUAGAGUCCCCAGCCUUGUUCCUGAAAUCUCAUAAAGAACCCAUCACUUGAAUCAAAUAACAGGGAGCCCCAAAACAUUGAGACUAGCUAUUCCCUUACUUUGUUUGAAUUAUUCAAAUUGGAUGGUGUUGAAACUAAGAAGACAUAGGGAGCAUGUGUGACCUUCCAUCACUUACAGAGAUCAUCCCUUAAUGCUUUCCUUACAGCAUAUGUCUGCCCUUGACUCAUGCAUCUGUCAUUCUGAGCCCAGCGACCUUGCAGCCCUGCCCUUUCCCCUGUUCUCCUGUCCAGACGACAUGCUCUGUGAUGGGCUUGAUAUGAAUGCAUUACUAUCCAUUUAUCUCUGUCUCUGCUGACUCAAUCUUGUCCUGAGCACGUCCGUCCUUCACUGGUAAUCCAUGAUCUGAUGUAAGUGUGCCUGAAUGUUUCUCAUAGACAAGGACAGCCAUGUUUAGGCUAUUACAGUGCAAAAGGGGAGCCUCCUUUUUCAGAUGUGGAUAAUAAGGAUAUCACAUUUUAAGCAGACAGAGGAAAGCUGUGAUUCAUUCCAGGAUCCAGGCAUCCUGAGCAAAGAUGGUCUCUUAUUACUAUUCCUAUUUCCCACCCCACCCCUUCCCUUACCCCCAUUCCUAAUCCCAACAGUCUUAACUAUAAGCCAGUAAGUGAGAAGCAAAAAAGAGUGGACUUGAAUGUUUGACCAUGGAAGCUGUUGAAGGUCCAGAAGCUUCAGAAAACCAUUCUGAGAACCCAUAGAGAGUAGGUCACUAGACCAGCACUGGGUCCUGUCACCCAAGUGACACUGAGAUCUUCAUCCCUGAGAUCUGUGCCAGCCUGAGCUCCGAAGUAGAGUCUGCUCCCAGGAGACUUGGUCUGUCCUGGGUAAGAGGUGGAAGUAUCUCUGAGUAAGAUGGGUUUUUUUUUAUUUACUUUACAUCCCAAGGGUGCCCCCUCCCUCCUCUCCUCCCUUUCCCCCUUUCCUCUUUCCCUUUCUCUUCCCCCCAGAAAAAGAAAACUCCCCCAUAUCAACCUUCCCCAGCACAUCAAUUCACAUCAGGACUGAGCACAUCUUCAUCCCCUGAGGCCAGGCAAGGCAACCCUGGCAGAGGGAAGUGAUCCCAAAGCAGACAAUAGAGUCCAUGUUAGAACCUGCUCCUUCCACUCGCCAGGUGCCCCACAUGAAGACCAAGCCACCCACCGGCUACAGGUUGCAGGAGCUCUAGGUCAUUUAAAGCUACUCUCCACAGCUGUAUUGCCUCCUUAACAUGACAAAGUGGAAAUCCUGCCUUAUUUUACUGCCUGCAUGUUAAUGAGCCAAGUCUUGUGACCUGAUAAGGGAAGUUUACAAACAAUUAAGCUCUGAGAUACUCAGAAAAGAAAGUGAAAUUGCGUAGACCAGCAAUCCAAAGGGGAAAGACAACUUCUGCAAGCCCUGAAUUCAAGGGGGAUUCUAAAAGGAAAGUACCCACAGAGCAUUGGACAGGAGGUGUAGGGUGAAGGCCAGGGUAUCCAGACUUCUGAGAUCCCAUUAGUCUCAAGGACUUCAUUUAUUAAAAUAACACAAGAUACAGCCUUCAAUGAACGCCACGCCACUGCACCUGAGUGACCCUCUCCAGUUGGGAAAACAGAUCUGGACAGUGGGUGGGGCUUUCUCAGAAGGCAACCCCAGUUUUCUGAAUCUGGGUUUGGGAUGAUGACCUGGUUUUUUUGCUGCCAGGUUAAUAUGUUCAUUUUUAGACAUGUGGCUAGUGAGAAUUUGACCUCUAGAGAUACCAAAGAUGAUGAUGAUGUCGACGAUAGUGACGAUAAUAUUGACGAUGAUAUCAUACUAAACGUGCUGGCUUAGCAUGUACCAGGCAUGAUGCUGGAGGCAUAGCAUGCAAGUCUCACUUAAUUCUCACUCCAGUAUGUGCUUAAGAAUCCUAUUAUAACAAUUUAAGAGAAAAUCAAGGCUGAGAAAUGAAUAAAUUGAUCACAGUUACAAAGCUCUUUAGUGACCCACAGUACAAACAGAUUACUCAGUAGGAAAACAUGUACUGGCUCCACUGGAACAUACUACUUUCUAUAGUAUUUGGCUUGGAGGGAAGCUUAGGAAUGACCUGACCAAACCUUUCUUUGCCCCGAAAACAGAAGUACUUCUUCAAAGCCAUGCCAUGAGGUAGAGCUGGUGUUAAAGUCUUGUUCUCCUUCACUGGGGUUCUCUAUUCUUUUCCACUUGACCCACUUACCCCCUCUUUAAAUUUCACUUUGGAGUAGUGCAGUAUUUUAAUUUUUGAGGAAUUUGUUGAUGGCUUCCAGUGAAUGAAGUGUGCAUUGGAAAUGGAAUAAUUAAAAGCUGGAAACUAAUCAAGAAAGUUUUGUGUCCAGUGAAUAAUAAUACCCAUAAUAACAGAGAUAAGGGCCCGGAAGGCCAGCCCUCCUGCCCUGGGAACAUCACCUGACUUGGGGCCAACUACCUCUGAGAAGACUGUAAGAGCUGGAAGUAUCUUGUUUUACUCCUGAGAGCUUUGCUGACCCCUGCUUUUGCCUGAGAUCUAAGAAAGAAUGACAGAGGAAAAAUGAACCUUCUCGAAUUUCCUUCCAUUAGCCCAUGGUCUGGGCUAGAGUGAUAUCAGUGCCACUGAAUGUUCCAUGCCAGGCUGGCUGGGUCUUAUUCUGUGGUCCAGGCUACUCCAGACUAGCUUUGAAGGAGGUGGAGGAUCACUUCCAUCUCUUCUCUCCCCGCCCCCACCCCCAAUGCUGGGAUUACAGGCAUAAGCUACCGCACCUGGAUCCAGAGAAAUAAUUUAAAUGCAUAUUUUUAAAAAACUGUGCUUCCAGAAUUUCUAACUCUGUUUUACAAUGUUUUAGUUGCUUCUGAGAUAAUUUUGAUGUUGGUCAGAAUAACAAUCACUCCCAAAGGCUUUGAUGCUGUCAAGCAAACACAGGCUGCAGAGAAGGAAAUAGCCUGACCAGUCAAGUGAAAGUUCUCAAAGGGAGAUCUGCUUGCUUGCUUGCUUGCUUGCUUGCUUGCUACAUUUCCAGCACCAGUGCCAAAGAGGAUACUGAGGAUGCUUCCAUCACCAAGGGGCAGGAGAGAAGAGGUAGGUGCACAAGAAUCAUUAUUUUCGUGAAGAUGAAACAGUCAGAAAUUACAACUUCUUGUCAUACGUGAAGGCUCAGUUGAGAUAGAAUCAUGAACGAUGCUAGAAUUAUCUAGAUCAAUUGAUCCUGAUAGCAAAAAGAUCACACUUCUAUCAAGUGAGGUAAUUACCUGGAUAAAUGAGGCAACUAACUGUAAGGCAAAGCCAACCACUCAGUAACAGAGCCACACAGGAAGUCGCUGGGACAAGUAGAGCUGAAGAAACAGAUGAGGGAGCCAGAACCCAAAUCUGUUCUGACCAUAAUGGCCUCUUCCGGUGUAUUUGGCACUAAGUAACUUAGUCACUCUCUUACAGGGCAAAGAGGUGAGAGAAAGGCUAAGGUGCUGGCAGGUGGCAGCUCUGAAAAUGAACCAUCCAAAACCACAAGGUUGGAGUGAAUAUGACAAGUUCAGUGCCAAGAGCAUACCUUGGAAUGUCACACAAGUGUCUGGUCACUUGCUUGGGACAUAGAAGACAACAAUAAAUGUACAUAUGCUCAUGAGUACACAUGCAUAGUCACACACACACACACACACACACACACCCUGCAUGGAAAUGGAGCAAAGUUCCCUCUGUAAAUUUAAAUGAAGUCCGGAAUAGUGAAGGCCAUUUGUAAGGUCUGCUGAGCUAAUGGAUUCCUAAUGACUUUUAAAGCUUCACUCGGGUAAGAAAUACUGUUCAUUUUUUAAUUGCACAUAAUUAUACUUUUUCAUAAUCUAGGACGGCAUAGCAAAAGUAAAUCUACUGGUGUACUUAUAAAUCUUUUUAUUAUCUGGAACCCUACUGAAAUAAAAGGAAAAAGAAGCAGCUAUUGUUUUCCUAAUCUAAGAGAAAGGCUUUAAACAGUACAUGCCUUCGGUGUUAAAUGAGUUAGGUUGCUUUCAAUGGAAACUCUAAGUUAGUCAUACAGUCCACACUGCUCUAGGAAGCAAUACGUGGGGCAGUCUGAUCUGCGAGAAUUAGACCUGCUUUAGGUCUUGGGGACAAGGACAUUAGUGGUCUAUUUGAGAAGCUAAGAGUUUGUCACCUGGAAAUCCACGGUGGGAAAAUCUUCAGGCUGGGAAGAGUGGGGUUGACAAAUGCAGCGAAGAUGUUGAGAAGUCAAACAAGAUGCUGCUCCAGGAGCCUAACCAGGGUUCCCAUCUCCAGAGUUUUGCCUAAUAACUUCUCACCCAGGCCCUUAGUUAACUUUAUAGCUAAUCACACUGCCACUGAUGACGGCGGGGGCGGGGAGGGGAAGGGGACUAAUCUCUCAGGAGCACAGGAUGAGAAUGUGGCUAUGAGCAUUGUCUUCUGCUGAAAUCUCAGUUUCUUGUAAAGUAGAAAUGCUGAAUCAAACACAUGUAGGAAAACAGCACUCUCUGGAAGGAUGCUGGGCAAAUAUGAGUCUGAACAGGUGAUGCUGAGGAGGCAAAAGAGAUACAUACCUCACAAAGACACCAAGCCCAAUUCACUGCUUGUCUUAUCACAAAAUUAGAAAUGCCUAAGAGCCUGACAGAGGAUGCAGCCUCCGGAAGGAAGGGUGUGGAGCACCUGCUGUGAUCAGGAGAGGCCCUUUGCAAGGGAGCCUGGAAGAAUAAGGUUGCUGCUGAGUGGACCAGCCAGACUUUGUGGGAGGCAUUGACAAAGGUUUUCUUUCUACCUUAGGAAUUCAUGAUCCUCUGAAAGAUUCUUUCAUCAGUUUUGGGUGCUCCAGUAUAAGUGAAUCAAUUAUUCAGUUAUUGGGGGGGGGGGCAUGGCAGGAAACCCAGAAGGAAAAACCAAUUAAGUUCUCUUAAAGGUUGAACAACUCAUUUGGGUGCAAUAAAGAUGAAUGGUGUUGCUGCCCAUCUCCGAGGGAAAGGCAGCUUCUUGUGAAGAGAUAGCACAUCACAAUUAACAUCCUUCAUAUACCUUGGGGUAGUUUUGUACCAUACCACUCUCCUAUAAGUCUAGCUCAACUCACACAGACCCUGUGACAACAAACAACUAAGGCUGUCCUUAGUGUCCCAGCACUACCAUUGAGUCUACACCCAGUACCGAGUACUUCCGUCUCACACUGAAGCCUCUGUCCCAGCAGCCACUGGUCUUGAUCUUUACCUGGAGUCUCUCUCUCUCUCUUUCUCUCUCUCUCUCUCUCCCUCUCUCUCUUCUCUUUUUACUUGUUCUGGGUCCAAACUGCUGUCCUUACCUCUAAUUCAUCUGAGAAGUGGUGAUUGAUUUUUAACCCUAUCUCCAGAGGGAAGCAGAAUCUCCAGUUAAUAAUUCCCUACAUCCCGUAGUCAGUGUGAGCUUUCUGGACAAUACAAACAUGAUUUUUAAAGAAAUUUCGCUUUUGUGGUUUAUAGGAUGACAACUUCUAUAAACACAAGCAAAAAGGCAUUGGAAUUUGGCUAUCUAAUCUGAAUCCCAUACGGUAACCCAGGUCUAUUUAUUGUUGUAUGGUUUUUAUUCAGUGGAGUCAUAGAGCAGCAAGUGGCUCUGUCCUGGGAAAUAUGUCUCAUCCCUUAAUCCCCUCAUAGCACUCAAGGCAUGCGUCAGGUUAGAAUUCUAGUCCCUGUGACCUUCAGCAAUAGACUUGGCUUUCCUUGACCUCAAUGUUUUCAUCUAAAAAAAAAGGAUGAGAAUGCCUCACCUAUAGAGCUGUAAGAAUGUGAGGAUGUAGGAAGGUCAAGUGCCUCACAGGAUCAGACAGAGGCCUGGCACUCAGUGCUCAGUAGUUGGCUUUUACUGUUGCUGCUGUUACUUCUAUUAUUAGGCACAGAAGCCUGGCUACCAGACUGUUUUUCCUCUCACCGGUAACUUGACCUUGGUUGGGCUGCAUAAUUUUUCAGAUUUAGUCUUUGCAUCUAUUGGAUGUAUGAUUAAUAUUUUCUGUCUUAUCAGUUAUGUGUAGUUUUGGCAAUAAUGUACAGAAAGCCCAACCAAGACGGCUUCAACAAGCAGAGAUCCAUUUGUCUCACUUAGUACAGAUUCCAAGGAGCUGCUAUUUGAGUCAGAUCAGCAGUGUCUCAGCAUCAGGGUCCACAUCCUCUGGAUACUGUCAGGUUUUUCAGCCCCUCUAACCCAUUGCUACUCCUGAUGACUGCUCUUCUUUGAAGGUGUCAUCCUUGUUCUAGGUGUGGAGAAAGAGAAAGUAUGGAGGGCAGUGUCUGCACACACACACACACACACAAAUACACACAUACUCACACACACACACACACACACACAAGCUUUUCCACAGUUCACGUGGCAAAUCCUUGCUUACAUCAUGUUGACCAGGACUGAGAUGACUGCAGAAGCUUUCAGCCAACACUGUCUAUCACACGUACUGACAGAGUUUCUAUAAGGAUACACGAGCUAGUGUGUGUUAAAGCGCUUUGUAACUGCUUUACAAAAGUAAGUUGUUAUCCUUACCCACGCCCUGUGCAAAGGAGAGGCCAGUCAAGAGGCAAGGGAUAACUAUAUUGUUCAGGCCUCUUAACCCACACUGAGAUAAAUGGAAGGCAUUUGGAAGGCGAUGGUAGCUUUAGCACUGGCUGACAGGUCCUAUCCCCUUGUAGGCUAAGCUGGAGGUUAUCCUGUUUCAUUCUGCUGGAGAGACGAUGCUUGGAUUGAGCUUGGUUGCUUCAAUUGUCUCUGCUUGAUGUAACUGUGAGGCCAUGUCCUACAUAAAUACAGAGAAUCUCUAGGAACAGCAGGAAGUAUUCCUGUAAGAUUCAUUCACCAGUAAUGGGAUUAUGUUAAGUUAAUGAUAGGUAGUCCUUAAUGUGUGCCCUCUCCAUUCAUGUAGCCUUCUGACAUCCUUAAUAAGCAUCUGCUAUUUUUUUAACAGCUUUAUUGAGGUAUAAUUUAUGUACCACGAAAUUCACUGCUUAGUAAGUGUACACCAUUGUGUGACUAUUACUACAAUCCAAUUUUAGAACAAACUCAUCUCCCCCAAAUGAUACUUCAUGCCAAUUUAAGGACAGCCACCAUUCCCAGGCUUUGCUGCAAAUGACAGUUCUAUUUUCUACCUCUGUGGGGUUGUCUUUUCUGGACACUUCAUCCCAAUGGAGCUGUACAAUAUGUGGUCCUUUGCAUCUGGCUUCUUUCGCAUGAUGUGAUUUGAGGGUUUGCCACGUUUUAGCAGAUAACAGUGGUCUGUUGCCUUUGAUUGUAGACAAGUAUCUGUUGCAAAAAUUCACCCCAUUUUAUUUAUCCUUUACCAGUUGGAGGACAUUUUGGCUUUUCCCACUUUACAGCCCAUUAUGCUAUGAACAUUUAUGUCCCUAUCUUGGUGGAGACACAUGUAUUCAUUUCUCAUGUGCAGAUAUCUAGGAGUAGAAUUGCUGGAUCAUAUGACAACUUUAUGCUUAACCCUUUUAGGAACUACCAAAUCAUUUUCAUUUCUUCCAUCAGCAUUUUGCAUUCCUACCUGCAAGGUUCCAGCAAGACAGAGCACUCCAGUCGUAUCACAUCCUCUUACCAACGGCUCUUUGGGAUCACAGUCAUUUUUCUAGGCACGAAGCAGUAACUUGUAAUGGUUUAAAUCUUAUUUCCUUGGUGACUAAUGAUGCUGAACAUUUUUCCAUGGGCUUAUUCAGUUGGUUUACCUUCAGCGAAGAGUCUUUUCAAUACUUCUGCCUAUUACACAAGCUUGAGGACCUGAGUUUGGAUCCGUAGACAAAGCUGGAGGUAGCAGCACACGUCUGUCAUCCCAAAACUGCUACAAUUAUAAGGGAGGCAGAGACAGGAUGCUUGUAUGACAGCCAGCCUGGCAAUCACAAUGGUAAACAAGAGACUCUGUGCCAAUGGAAAGAUAGACACCCAAGAUUGUCCUCUGACCUGUUAUGGUAUACCCAGUCUACACAAACACAUAAAUCUCCCUCACUUUUUCUCUCUUGCUCAUACAUACAUUCAUACAUUCAUACAUACAUACAUAUGUGUAUGUUACAUACACAUUAAAUUAAGUAGAUUUAACUUUUUAAAACACUGACAGCAAAAUUCCUCCUGUAUUUGUGCAACCUCCAUCCUGUCAGAGCCCAUAGCCUACUGUUUGUGUGGGAACAUGCCAUAAAGCUGUGUUAAUCUGCACAGUGUGGUCCUGUGCCGCGUACAUCCUGCAUGUUUGGAAAACACACAAAGGUAAGGUACCCACCAUUGUAGUAUCCCAUAAAAAAGUGUCUCUGCCCCGAGUCCUCAGUUCUGCCUAUUCAUUGUGCCCUCUCUGUUUUGACUGUCACCAUAGGUUCGCCUGUUUUUGAAUGCUGUAUACUUGCAGUCAUACAGUAAGAAGCUUCUUUAGAUUGGCUUCUUCUACUUAUAAACAUAUGCGUAAGUUUCAUCCCUGUUGUUUUUAUGUCUUGAAAGCUCUGCUUUUUUGGGGGUGGGGUUGUUUUUGUUUUGGCAGGGGCAUUGGCACUAAAUAAUAUUGCAUUGCCUGGAUAAAAAUGAUUCAUUUAUCCAUUCAUCUACUCAAGGACAUCAUAGUUCCUUCCGAGUUUUGGCAAUUAUGAAUAACAUCACUCUAAGAAACUGCGUUCAGGUCUUUAUGUACACAUAGUUUUUUGUUUGUUUGUUUAUUUGUUUUGGCUCAGUGGGGUAAAUGCCAACAAGAGCAAUGGCUGUGCCUUCUAUUGCUGACCCUCAGAGGUGGCUUUCUGCAUCCUUGCCAUCACUGAGAAGCAAAACUGUCUUAGGUAGCAGUGUUCAUGGUCGAUGUUCUAGAUGCCCAUCAUCUGGGAGCUGUGUAGCCAUGUCUAGUAGCUUACUUGGAAAUUCUUUCUUGGCAUAUGAUUUUGAGAUCUUUUCUUAUGCUUACCUCCCCUUUGCUGAUUUUCUUUGCUGAUAUUCUUAAGAUAAGGCACUCAGUCUACUUGUCAUUAGGUUGUUUGUAUCAUUAUUGCUGAGUCCUGGCUGCUCUUUGUCUAUUUUGGGUAUCAGUCCUACAUCAGAUCUCAGUUUGGUAAAUAUUUUCCCUCAUGUUGUAGCUUACCUUCUCAUUCUCUUGAUUUUUGCCCAGUUUUAAAUUGGGUUGUUGGCUUUCUUAUUAUUGACUUUCAAGAGCUCUUUAUAAGCUCUGGACAUGUUAUUCAUCAAGGAUAUAAUUUACAAAAUGAUCUCCCAGAGUGUGGCUUGUCUUUUCAUUUUCUUAAUACAAGUCUUUUUAAGUGCAAAUGAUUUUAAUCCUGAUGACAUAAAAAUUCUUGAUAUGUUCUUCUAUGGCUUAUAUUUCUGGUGUGAAUUAAAAUCUUCAAGUACACAAAAGAACUUCAAGUUCUUUUUUAGAAUGUUUAUAACAUUAUGCCUUACAUUUUUGUCAAUGUAGGAUUUUGGGUUAAUUUGUGGAUGUACUGUGAGACUGGAUCUGAAUUCAUAUAUUCCCAUGCAAAUAUCUAGAUUUACCAUUGGAUAUUGAGAAGACCAUUCUCCCCUUAUGUGCCUCAGCACUUUCUUUAAAAUCAAUUGACAGCAAAUGCUAUAAAUGUAGGAGAUUUUUACUGAGCAGUUGGUUCUCUCCUGUUGGCCUGUGUGUCUAUGGUUGUGCCAGGACCAAACUGUGCAGAUUAACACAGCUUUACGGCGUGUUUUAAAGCCAGUCAGUGUACGUUUUCUGACUUUACUCUUUUUUAGUUUUUGUUCAUUUGGCUCUCUUGGGCCCUUUGCAUUUCCUUAUAAAUCUUAGGAUUAGAUUGUCAGCUUCUAAAAACCAAUUAUCGCAGGGACUGAAAUUUUGAUAGGACUUGUAUUUAAUUCAAAGAUAAUUUAGGAAAAACUGCCAUCUUAGCGUUUUUCAGUUUCCCUGAAUCAGUGUUCAUUGUCUUUCUUUUUAUUUAGAAUUGCUUUAAUUUCUCUCAAUAACUUUCUUAGUGGGAAUACAGAAAAUUUUCACUUUUUUGUUAAGUUUAUCUCUAGUCUUUCGUUACUUGUACGUUAUUGUGAAUGAAUUCUUUUCUUAAUUUCUCUUUGGGACCAUUGCUUGUAUAUGAAAUCAAAAUUAUAUUUUUACAUAUUGCCUUACAUCUUGUAACUUGCUGAACUUAUUUAUUAGAUCUAGUAAUAUUUUUGUAGAUUCUUUAUAUAUAUAUAUAUAAAGAAUUGUCUACAAAUACAGACAAUUUGUCUUCUAUCUGCCUUCCACUCUGGUUGCUAGGCAUCUCUUAUUGAAUUUGAGAUGUUAUAAGACACUCAGAAAGAGUGCAGGGAGGGUCCCCUGAGCAGAUAAUGUGAUCACUCUAAGAAGGAAGGGCUUGAAAAUUGGGGCUGGGAUGGCCAAAGGGACCUGAGAGUCCCCACUGGGCUGCAAUGAGUUUAAGUUCGCUGAUUUCUUUUCCAAAGAAUGAGAGAGUUGCCGCAUGAGAAAGACAUGCACGGACCUGAGGCAGGCACCUUGACAAGGACACUGGAGAGGCUGCUUGCCUUUCAGAGCUGUGGGGCUACCCCUAGUUUUUACUUUGCUCUGCGAAGAGAAGAGGUGUCCUCUUCCCAGUAAUCUGGAUACUUUUCUCUUAAACAGGGACAGUCUACCCAAUUUUUGCAAUAAAGAUGGGGUCGUAGUGAUGCAGGGCAGCCUCAUGCAUGUGUGUGAGCUCCUAUGCCACCACAGUGAUAACUCCACACUUAACAAGCCUCCCGCUCUCCAGUGAGAUGCCUCUUAAAUAACCCCUCAUUACUUAAUAUGCAAUGGCUGUUAUGGCUAUGUGAGCUGUUAUCUGUUUAUGUUGACUAUUAAUAAAUUAUUAGACCAUAUCGUGUGGGUUUUAAUAACUCCAUAGAAAGAGAAGUUUGGCCAGAAGGUGAAAUCUCAAACAAUAAUGAAUUUGUAGUUGGAGGGAGAGAGGAAGAGACAGAGAGAGAGAGUUUCCUUUUUCUUCUACUGCAUAGAAGUCAUUCACUUACAGGGAAAUUAAAUAAACAGGUCUUUGCCCUUACUUAAGAUUCUGGCCGUGCACAGGGGGAAGGAGUGCACAGGAGACCCUCAGUCCUGGUGGGAGCAGCCUGCUGGGGUCGCUGCCCCAGGCACGAGCCUGAUGCUUGUUAGGCUCCUUGCCUUGAGUCUCAGCUUUUCCUUAUGGACUGAAAAACCUCUGUAAGAAUGGGAAGGUUGCGGGUAGUCUGUGUGCAGCUAAGCAAGGCUUUAAAAUGCAUCACUCUAAAUCAGCCUUGAAAUAGGGCUUCUCAAGUUGGCCCGCUUGACUGCUCCCAGAUGAGACCCAGGAAGCUGCCCUGCACCCCCACAUGCAUGUCCUUGCUUGUUGGAGACAAAAAGGCAUGAGACCAUGUUAAGACUAGGAUUGAAGUACCAACCUAGGGAGGGGACUCCAUGAUUAUGGCCCUGGGAGGUCAGGCAGAGGCUGAGGGCAUGCCAGAUCUUAGCUACAGCACAGAAAUAGACUCAAAUCAUUUUGGCAUCAGCCAUGAUUUUUAAAAUCAAUACCAAGCCUUUUGAUACAGUCUUAAUUCUUUUUCUUUUCUUGCUGUCUGUGGAGGGGUUGAUAGAUUGCCUUCUCCAUGUAGCUACGAAAAGAAAGCGUUGGUAGGAGAGCCUCACUCAUCCCCGGCAUCCUGGCGGAGGGGCGGCAUGCUUCUGGAACUCUCAGAGUAUACAAUGUCACCUCAGUCCUUGGCGUAUCCUUUGUCAAAAGAUUUCUCACUGCUUCGAGGGGCGUUUUCCAAAUUACCUAUCUCAUUGCUACCAUGUGGACACUGGUAGCAAUCUGUCUGAGGAUGACAGAAAAGGGACCGAAUACAAGUCUCUACUCCACUCUGAGUGCUUAGACACCAGCACUUUCCAGGAUCUCCUUCUUACACUUGCUACCCAAAAGUAGGUACAGAGAUGAACUAGCUUCAUUCUCUAGGAUGGUGAUCCUGGAAGGAUGAGCAGGUGAAUAAUCAGAAGAAAGUUGUUUAAGAUUGUCCCAAAGUUUCCCUAAUAUGUGUGCUUCUAGAAAGCAGGAAAGUCCUUCUGUAAAAGUCCUCUUUCAGAUAAUUGAAUGCUUGUGAAGUGAUUGGCAGAAAGAAAGGGAGAAGGAAGGAGGCGAUAGAAAACAGGAGGGAAGGAUGGAGGGAGUAAAGGAGAGGUUAAAGGAUGGAUGGAAGGAAAAAACCAAACAUCAGUAAUGGAUUCUAGUCUACUCAUUCAUUCACCCACUCAUUCAGUCAUCCUGAUAGGCAGGCAUAAAGAUAGACAGGUCUUGUGAUAGAAAGGCAUUGUGGAGGAAGGGCUCUGUGCCAGGUAUCAGAGACAUAGUAGUGCCCAGAAGCAACCCCUUCCUUCCAUGAGCUUGCUGAUAACCUAGGGAGGCAGGUGUGAUUUAUGUUCACACAACUGGGACACAUAGGCUCUAUGACAGGCCAAGCUAUGACAGUUGUUGGAGCUCUAGGGCACUCCUAUCUUUUCCAUAUGUGAAAGCAGAGAUGGACAGAGGGAAUAAAGCAUGCCAAGCAUGGAGAAAACCAUUCGUGGCACAGUAUGGCACUGUCAGGAUGGCUAGGAAUAAAAGCAGAGGAUGCUGGUAGAUAGUGAUGCCAAGACUGUAUCCCUGGGGAUCUUGAGUAGUCUAAGAGUCUAGGGCAAGAUUCUGACACAGUUCUAAAAGAAAGGAGAGACAUGUGAUAAAGGGGUGGAGUGUGACGUCUGGUUGCCAUGGUAUACGAUAUGCUAGAGGGGGCAGGUAAGAGCAUAGCCAGAGGAUGAGAAGUCCCUUGCAGAUAAAGACAACAGAUGGGAUAGAGGUAAUGGCCAAAGAGUGGAGAGAACCAGCUUUGAUCGACAACCAACUUCCUAGUUAGAGUCCUGUUAGGAAAGGGCAGAGGACUGGAGUCCAGAAAAUAGAUUAGCCAGAGAGGCAAAUGUUAAAUUGGAGAACCUUUGCAGGCAGGGAAUCGCUCUUGCCACAGGCCCUUAGGGGGAUUAGGAAAAGUGAAUAGGGCCCACAGCAGAUGCUCCUGCAGGGCAGGAGGUAAUGAGCAUUGGAUGUUGUCUUAGGGAGCAUGCCCAGAGCAGCCUCAUUCCAACACACAAAGAACAGGGUCCCUUGGCAAGGGAGAACCAUGUGCCUCUCAAACAAUGGUGGAGGAGAGGGCUUUGUGAGCACAAAGAGGCUCAUUCAUGAACUCACCAAGUUGUGCCUGUUGCCACAGUAACGUGUCAAGGGCUUGGCAGAUAUAGGAAGGAGGGGAAAAAAAACCCACACAACUAAAACAAAAACAAAACCCCCUGAGUUACAGUACUCAAAGCAAAUUAGGUCACUGUUACGAGUUAUUAAUUUUAAUGCAUUAAGAAAAGUGUGCAGGGGGUGGGGAAAUGAAGGAGGUCUUUUUUUUAUGCAGCAAAUGGGGAACAGGAAAAAGUACAACAAUAAUUAUGCUGAAAGCAAAGUGAAGUGUUCCAUAAAAUGCAAGAAAUGAACAAAUUACAUACCCCUCCCUCUUCUUCCCUCGAGUGUAGUUAGCAGUUGGUGGGGUGGGGGUGGGGUGGCUCCCUCACAGCCCUCUGAUGCCGUUACAAGCUCUCAUCUUGCUUCUUUGUGUUGUGUCGCACGUGCUGUUACUUAAGCCAGGCUGAAAUUCAAGGAUGAAAAGAAAGCACCGAGGACCACUUUCUGGUUCUGAGUUAUGUUCAGUGUGGAGUUGCUUCUAGGCAAAUGUGCAGCCUGGUGAAGGGAAACUGGAUGCUGUGGAUAGAUUCUCCAGGGGCUAGGGACUGACAGGGACUCCAGGCAUUUUGGUCUUUAGGCCUGGCUGACUCAGUGUGCCACCAGGUUCCCGAGUAGAAUGCUGUGUCUCUGGCUACAAAACUGGGCCAUGUGCCACUCUUGCUUUCUUGGCCUUUGUGCAAGGCUUCCCCAUGGCAUACAGAAUCCUGCUAAGGAAGCCUAGGCCUCUCUUUCCUCCUAGUACCACCUUUAUGCCCUCUCACUAUCCAUCCUUUGGUCUAGUCCAGCAACAGUUCCUGAGCUGCCAAAGAGUCAGGACCUGUGGGUACUGUCUAAUUUCUGAGCAAUCUUCCCAAAGCCCAGCCCAUAUAAGGGCAUUCCCCAGCCUAGUUUCUAUACACACACACACACACACACACACACACACACACACACACACCAUUACCUACAGGACAAAUUAGGAAGCAUUUCAUACCCAAGAAAAUCAGAUUCCCUCCCCCAACUUUUCUGUCCUUUUUUUUCUGUUCAUCCUUUCCCCCAACCUGUCAUACAGCCAAAGAAAUGUCACUACAUUCUGCAAGUCAGAACCUUUGACCUUCAUUGCCCUUCUGCUGGGAUCCAUCUGAUUUCUCUGCUGAGCAAUCAUCUGUCCAUCCUCAAGGUCACUGACAUUUUCAUGCAUAGUGGCACUCCCUUCUGUGGGCUCUGUCGAAAAACACCUUGACCGAAAUACGUAUCAGUGGCUCAUGCAUCGCUGCACUCAUCAGCUCCUGAAACCCUUGACAAGCUCCAUCUUUGAACCCCUAUCCAGCCUGGGGAAGCACAAGGGCGCUCAACAGAUAGUUGUUUUAUUGCUUUCCUUGCCUAAAUUCUCCACUUAUAAAUGGAAAAGCUCCCAGCCUUCACCAAAAUCUAUUUUAAGCUGCAGCUCUCCAUGCAGCACCCCUCCAUGUGACUUGGGGGUCCGAGUGCUUAAAAUCCUGCCUGGACAGUCUUGGAGAAUGAUCUCUCCAAGGUCACACAUCCCAAAACAGCUUCUCUGAGAGUUUGUGAACACGUGGGAGCCUCGAGUGGCUAAAGUGCUUGGCUCAUACGAGGGUAUUGCUGGAAGCUCAGGAGAUUGGGGCAAAGGGAGUGUGGAAGUAUGUGAGUCCCUGGAUUGUUUUUCUACUCUGUGGUUAGAUGGCUUUAGUAAAUGCCAUGUCCAUAUUUUCUUGUGUUUCCAAGGAGCAGGAGUUAAAGCAGACAUUUAGUUAUUUUUCAUUUGUUAAAAAUGUGGGCUUCCUCUCCCCUCAAUAAACGGGGAAAGGAAGUUGCAAGCCCAACAGGAUAGCUUAGAAAUCUGACACAUUUCACACCUGGCAUUGCAAAAUGGGAAGGCAUGUGGACUGCUGUGUGGGUAAAUGGAUAAUACGUAUGCGUAUAUGAGCAUGUCUGCGUGUCAUCCUAAGUCCAGCUAGUAGUAUUUACUGAGUCAGCAUUGUGUACCAGGUAGGCACGGCGUGUGCUUCUGUGUGUGCACUCCAUCCUCUACAGCAGAAGCUUUCACCCCACUCCAGCUACCCUUAGUAUUUUCUAGGCACUACAGGGAAGGGCAGAUGUUUUCUCUAGAAGCUAAUUUACUUGGGGAGUGGAAGGCUCCAUUUUAAUUGAUUCUAUCUUUCAAGAUGCAAGGAACUUGUAAUCUCAGCCCAAUUGUCAAUACUUUGCAGGCCCUCUCCCCAAGUCUUUAGCAUGCAGAUAGGGCAAGCAGGGAGCUGCUGUGACAGCUAAGGAUGAAAAAGAAGAGCAGCUCAGGAUAAUAAUCCGCUUUUGAUUUUUUCCCCAUCCUUUCCCUACACCCUCUCUCAAAUCCACUAAAACGAGGGAAAAUCCAUAGUGAUUAGAAAAACUUCUGACCAAGACAUCUUUCUCCCUUUCCUUUCAUUUCCUCCCCACCCUCUUUAGUAUUCAGAAGCUGCCCAAAUAGCAGAGGUUUCCAUGAGGCUUGGCUGUGCGUAGCAUCCCAAGCACAGAAUGGGGGGAAAAAUGCUUGCUGGAGUUUGCAGUUCCUCUCAAGCUAAUGUCAGGCAGCUUACGCCACCCUAUCAGGCUGACAGCAAGUCACAGGGGUCACCAUGGUACAGUCCAGUGUCUUCUACCAAGACAGGGAGAGUAUGUGAGUCCCCUAGGUACCUUAGCUGGCCAGAAGAUCCUUUCUGUGCCUCAUACCUUGGCAGGGCCUGGAAAGGAAAGCACAAAGUAGACUGGCCUGGCUUUAAAGAGACACAGUGAUGGGAUUGAGUUAAGAAAACGCUCUGGUAUUUCUGGCCUCAGCGUGCUUCACUGAGACGAAGGACUGUCUUAGUCACCGCUCUAUUGCUGUGAAGAGACACCGUGACCACAGCAACUCUUUAAAAGGAAAGCAUUUACUUGGGGCUGGCUCACAGUUUCAGAGGAUUAGUCCAUUCUCAUCAUGGUGGGGAGCUUGGCGGCAUGGUGCUGGAGAAGUAGCUGUGAGUUCUACAUCUAGAUCCACAGGCAUCAGGAAGGGAGAGAGAAACUCUGGGCUUGGCAUGGACUUUUGAAACUUCAAAGGCCACCCCCAGUGACACACUUCAACAAGGCCAAACUUCCCAAUCCUUUUAAAUACUGCCACUCCUAGUGACCAAGCAUUCAAAUCUAUGAGCCUGUGGGGGCCAUUUCCAUUCAAACCACCACAGGGGUAUACUAAGUCAGCAAUGCCCAAUGUCACUUUUCACAGCCAAUUGCCUGGCUUUUCUUUUCCCCUUAGCUGGAGUCACACAUUUGGAUUCAGUGCAGUAUGCAUCGCUGACUACCAGACUUCACUCCUGGACAUGUGGACCCGGAACUCUGUAACAAUUUGAGCAGGGAGUACAUGGGCUGGUACAUGAAAAGGAAGGUUAAGAUUGUAUGAGGGACACCACGGGAAAAGUGUUUCUGCACUUGACCAAGUCUCUGUCAGUCAUGGAUAGGACAGGUUAUGCAUUUGUACAUGGCUGGCAAGGGGAAGGACCCAUUUUAAUUGAUCCUAUCUUUCAAGAUGGAAGUAGCCUGUAACAGUAACACCUCAACUGUGCAUAUCUGAGGCAAAGUUCACUCCAUUGGUGAGUAUUGUUUCCCAGAUGGAGGGAGGAGGAAGGAGCGAGUGCCUGGUAGAAGAAGGAAGAAGACUGUCUGCAAUCCUCAGGAAGCUGUUGCUGCACAGCCCGGAGUAGACACUUAGCCUCUUGGGUUCUGGCUUAGGGAAUGGCUAAGCACAGGCAGAAGGGGGAGAGGCAACAAAGCGUGAUCAGAAUACCCUCAGCUUGCGCAGGCACCCUUGUCCCUGGAGGUUGUUAGUGUCAGUUCCAUGAACAACGAUUGGCUGCCACAGAGAGCAGGAAAUCACAAUGUCAAGGAGUAGAGGGCAGGUGGUUCUGAAUGAGCUACCCAUCCCUGACACCAGCUCUUUGCUAAGCUCACCUGGGACAGCAUUUUCUACUUAAUCCAUGAAUCUCCCAGUCUUCUCCAGGCAACUUGUGGGACUCCAGGUCUGUAGUGUGUGAAAGCCUCUCCACCCAUCGUUCAUUCCCAGACUCCAGUCGCUGACAUAACAGAAACUGCUGAUUCGGACAGUCCUCUUGUGCUGUCUGCCAUUCUCACUAAAUCAGGACAUUUGAAUAUUAGAUCCCAGGGCCACUAACAGCCCAGGGAAUAAUCAAAGACCAUCCAGUGAACAGAUAUUCUAUGGGACAGUGAAGCUAUAGCAGAGGAGUGCAUCUACCAAAGCCUUGGUAACACUUUGCAGGAUUCUGGAAGCUCUUCCCUAACCUGUUGAAGAAAAGGUCACACCUCUCUCUAGGGCAUGGGUACUCCAUUUUCCCUCUUCUCUAAGAGCAUGGCUCCCUGGGAUGACCAUUUUUCCCACCAUCUUUGUCUCUCUGUCUCUAUCUCUCUGUAUCUGUGCCUCUGUCUCUGUCUCUAUCUCUCUUUCACACACACACACACACACACACACACACACACACACACACGUGUGGAGAGAGAGACUCAUAGUGAAUACCCAUACUAUAGAGAAGUGAAUCAUUCACUAAACAACCCCAUCCUCAACAACAUAGAAGCCACGAGAGUAUUGGAGAGGUUUGGAAGAUGCCAGUGACCCAAGAUCAGCACGUAGCAGACAACUGAUUAUGUCAGUCAGCACUGGUGAAUAACAGCAGAGGCCAGAGUGAGCAUUGGGGGUCAUAUUUGCUUAGAAACUUAUGGAUUUUAAUGGGGCUAAAGGACUUCUUAUCUGUAAUUCCUCUACAUCACCCAAGAUUUCUGCUUUCAAGUAAAUCCUUCUCUGAGGCUGCUUUCUGGAAACGAGCCAACAGAUGCAGAAGAGCAGCCCGUGGGUCUAAUGGGUGAAGUCAAAUACACCCUAAUUGCAAAUGGACAAACUCAACAAAGAGCAAAGCUAAUGGGCAGUUAGGUUUCCUGCGUGCAUGGAAAUUCUCUUUAGUGUAAAUUCCAUUAAUUUUUUUUCAUUGAGCAAAUAUUUUUUGAGCACUUAAUGAAUGUCUUGCACUAUGACAGGUGUGUGGAGGAGGCUUUCUGAAGCUGGGUGUAAGCAAGAGAGUGAGAAGGUAGUUUAUUUUAAAGACUGCUCUACUCUCCCUGUAGCAUGAGAAGUGGCCAACUGAAAGUGGCUUAUUAUGGAAAACCAGGAGGAUAGACUCAGCCAGGUGAUAGAUGACAGUGGCUUUAACUAGGAAACAGAAGAAAUGAAGGAAACCAAGUCAAGAGGUGUCCAAUCAGUCAGUCUAAGAUUCCCAUUUAUUUGUGUCCUUCCACAGGGUACCAUGACAGAUGCUACAUAGAGAACAAGGAACAGUCAAAUAAAAAGAUUUUAGUGAUUGAUUGGUCUUAGGGCAUUAGGGAGAGGGGAAUUUAUGGACUGUGCAAUAUACUUCGGUAUGAGCAAAUGGGGAGAUGAAGGAACUGUUCCUGAUGAUAAUCAAAUGAGAGAAAGAAGGGUUGAAGGGAAGAAGGAUUUCCCCAUUUGAUUCACUGAACAAGAAUCAACUACAGAGUUUUUAUAUAUGGCUAUCCAGUAAAUAUUUGGAUCUGUGAGCUGUGACCCAAGAGAGAAACCUCUCCUGGGAUUAAGAGGAAAUCAAAGCCAAACCUGUAAUGGAUACAGCGGAAAUGAACAGGGAUUCAUGGGCCAAUGAGAAGAUACCUCCAGAGGAGCAGGCAAAUCGAGUGAGCAUGUUGCUACAGAAGCCCAGAUGAGGAGAACAGUAUUCAGUGGGCAGGGAACGCUGACUCUUGUGGUGGGUAGGCUGAACACUACACUAGGACAUACAGCAACAAGGUUACCAGCAACCUCUGAGUGUCAGUUAGGAGGAACGACAGACAGAGACACUAGAAUGCUCCGGGAGUGGGCAGAGUGGGGCCUGGGAGAUGAAUAGAAACUGGGAACAAUGCUUUCUGGAAGUUGAAGAAGAGAAAAUAAGGAAGUACCCACAGAGGAAACUUUUGGGGGAGUAGACAGAUUUUUCUACCACUGCCAUUGCUAUUGUUUGAUUUGUUUUUCAUUAACUGAUCCUACUAAGAGAGUAAAAAGGUAAAAAUGGUCAGAACAAUGCCCUAAAAGUGGUGAAGAAAUUGUUUUGUAGAUAGAAUUAAGGUCCUUAGGGUAGAGCCCCGCAAUUCACUGCAGGUGGCUUCAUAAGACGAGGGAGAGGCUGUAAGAGCUGCUCACCUUCCCUGUGUCUUGCCACAUGAUCCCUUUACCACCUUGGGAUUUUGCCGGCAAGAAAGUCAGAGGCAGCUAUUUAAUCAUAAAUAAGAACCAUGAGUGUAGAUCAGAACCAUGAGUGCCAGGUGGUGUGGAAGGGUUCAAAAUGGGUAGGACACAUGACAAAUAGAACUCUGAUUGCAAGGGUUCUCCAUAGGAAUGGAACCAACGGAAUACAGACCCAUGAAUCCCAGAAGUGGGUUUUAUUAGGAUAAUUGGCUUGAGUGGUUAUAAGGCUGGAGACGUUUCAUGAUAUACCUUCUGUGAUCUGGUAAGCCAGUGAUGUGGCUCAGCCCGAGCCCAGUGGCUGCAGAUAUAGAAGCACCAAUCUCAUAACUCAUCCUGAUCCAUAGUCCCAAGAAGCUAAGAGACAACUGUGCACAUUCCAGAGUCCAAAGGCUGGAGAAACUAUAUGCCGAAGGACAGGAGUGGAAUAUCCUAGCUUUAGAGGGAGAGAAUUGCUUUUCUGCUCUGUCAUUUCCUCUCUGUGAGCUCAGCUAAUUGGGUAAUACCCACCUACAUUGAGGGCAAAGAUCUAGAUCCCUGUCUCUUCCCAAAUCAUCCUCAAAGACAUCCCAUUAGUGAUGCUCUACCAACUAUCUCAGCAUCCCUUAGCCCAGUCACAACUGACAGCUAUAAAGAGCCAUCACAGGGCCAAAUGAAUGCUGGGAUGAUUUCUCCUCAUCCCAGAAUUAGAGAAGUAGGUCAUGAAGCAAGCUGGACUUUGGUGUGUGGUACAGGGGGGAUUUCGUUGAUGUGUGUUUAUGCGUCUGUGUGGUGAGGAAUUACAUAGGUAAGGAUUUAGUAUGUGCAUGGUGGUGGUGGGGUUGCCUAGAUGAAGAUUAGGUGUGUAUGUGUGUUGUGUGCUGGUAUGUCAAAGGUAUUGCCUAUAUGUGAUUGUGUGUGUGUGUGAAAGGGGGUGCCUAAUUUGAAAUAAUAGACCUUAAGUAACAAAGCUGAUUAGGGAAAAAAAGUAAAUAUACAAAAGUCUGUCUACAGGGCAGGGAAAGUCAAGGAACCAAAAAGGAGAGCUUUAAAUGUGACCAGAAAACAGACCUACCUUAAGGCAUAAUUUAGGCACUGGGAAUUUGACAUUCUUCAGUAAGUAUAUUGGCAACACAAUUGGACAACGAAGAAUCCACCUACUCUCCUCCUACUCAUAUUGCUUCUUUUCUCCUUCUUCUUCUUUCUCCUUUUUUUUUUGGGGGGGUGGGGAAUCACAGGAUGGAGGCAGACCUAGGAGAACUGAGAAGUGAAUGUAAUCAGGGUACAUUUCCUGAUUUCCAUUUCCAAAAUCAGGGUGAAUUUCCAAAUAAUCAAUAAAAAAUAUAAUAAAAAAAUAAUAAAACAUAGUUUAGGAAAUAGCUAAAUACAAUCAGAAGAGUUAAGGGAGGGUAGACAUUGAACAUUAAUAAAGCUUCUGAAUAGAAGUUUUCACAGAAAAGAGCCCCCUCCAAAAAAACAAAAAAAAACAAAA